rnacentral:lncRNA from 1 species
CCAUGAGCUCCGGCGAGCUCUAUAGCUCUCUCUCCGGAUAGCCCCUGCUGCGACGCACGCCUAGAGCUCUGCCACGCCUCCGCGAAGCCGCUCCACCUCUCCUAGACCCCGCGGGCGUCCCGAGCAGCGGCCGCGCGCGCGUCUUCCUCGCGUCCGGCGAGAGCGCCCUGACGCUUGGAUCUCCUCUGCGCUUGGGCGGGGGCAGUAAUGGGGGCGGAAGAGGCCGUGGCGAGGAAGCGGUACGAGGCGUUGAUGGUCCCCGUGAAAAUUAGCAAAACCGGUGGUUCCCGCAACGACUCACUGAAAUGUGGUGAUUCUGCGCAAUUUACUCAAUGUACUAGUGUGUAUCAAUUAAAUGAAACAGCUAAAUAACAAUGAUAAUUAAUCUAAGAUCGGAGCAACAAUUCACUUCGCCUAGCAUAAUCUUCCCUGGAUACUUGCUGAUUGUUUGUAACAACAGUUGUGACCAGCACCAGAGCCGGCGCCCCGUCUAUGGAAGCCCAAGACAUGGAAAUACGCAAUCCGUAGAGAUUAGCUAGAGAGCUCUCAGCUUGUAUAUCUGUAACAGUAUCAUCAUGGCAAGUUAUUACCAAGCAGCAGCAGCAGCAGCAGGAGGAGCUGAAGGCCGGUUAUUAGUAUCGGGAUCACUGUUUGGAUCGAUUAAAUUUCCCCAGUGACUUGGAAGCUAUGCUCUGUGUUUGUGCUGUAAAUUAAUUAAGCUUGGAGCACCCUGAAGAAAUCUCUUCGUUGUUAAGGCCUGCGGUGACUCUGGAAAGUGUUGGUGGUUUGUAACCUGAUCACCUUCAUGUCUCCUUGAGUAAUGUUUGAGAGCAAUUCAGCUCGAAUUACUCAUGUCUCUGGGCAGUUGGUUUUCAGUACUCCAUUUCGUUUGAUCAUAUGAAACCUGGAUUAGCUGAUUAAGCAAAUAUACGUGUCUCUGCAACUAGGCAGUACACAUAGUUGCAAUGUAAACAGCCAUCUCAACUGCAUGUCAAAUCUAGAAGGAUUUGAAUCAGCAUCCACUACUACAGAAAGGCUUAUCAGUAACGGUCGAAAAAUAACAUCAGUAACGGUCGGGGUCGCCAUUACUAACUUCGUGUUACUGAUGAUGGGUAUCAUCAGUAACGGUCGCUUUGUCACAUCAGUGUCGGGCGAGCGACCGAUACCGAUACAUUUUCAGUAAUUAAAAAAAUAAUUAAAACCACAGAAAAUACAUAGAAAAAUAUAUAUUUGAAUACACAGCACAGCACAGAAAAAUACACAGCCACAUCAUUUAAAGCAUACAAAUGUAUAUAAAGCCGCAUCAUUCGGGGCCGCCAGUACUCUUCCAUCGCCGCGACUGACCCCUUCCACUCAGAAUUGAACAUGCUGGCAUUCUCCAUAAGGAUGUGACAGCAGUAGGAGCCACAGAACACACUGCCGGACGACUGUUGCUGGCAAGGGAACCUGUGGUUGUGGUGAAGCUCGUCUUUAUAGCCUUUACCAACUAGUUUUCCCUUGGUUGCCACUUCUCAGGCAGUGUUAAUGAGUGAUUUGAUGGGUUUUCAGUACCAACCUCGAACACCCUUCUUCGGAAGUAGUGAAUCGAAGUAGUACACCGCGGACCAAGGCAAACAAAUGAGUAGUGUCACCCAAUGAUUUCUGUUUUUAAAAGAAACAAACAUUAGUAUCUAAGGGUGUAUAAGAAAGACUGAAUUAGAAAAAACAAACGGUUCCAUAUAUAUAAUUCAACUUACUCCAGAUUAAGGAAGAAGAGGCGUAUUUCUCCAGACAUGCCACCAAGUAUUUAGAUGCCAGGGUUCUUGAGGUAUCCUUUUCUGGCUCAAAACCGAUGUCACCGUAGUUGAACACCGCGGGGUCUAGAAUGGCUACUUUUUUGACCUCCAUUCGCCGCAUUUCCCUUAUUUGGUAGGCAGACCACAGCCUUAAGAGGUUGAUAUCAAGCUUUUGGCGGUUGAAGAGGUGGAACAGUUCGUUGAACUUCACACCAAAGGUGAUAAGACGUUCCUGAAUGUUUCCAGUUUCUUGGUUAAAGAAGCCAUAGUCUCGUGGGAUUCGAACAUUGAUUUGUCAGGCAUGAUGUUGAGAACCAGCUGAUGCUUGCAUGUAGAACUGAUAAAGCUCUUGCAUCUCUCUGGGCACGACACGCAGGGAAUCUUCGGUGACCAUCGGUCUUCUAGGAUAGUAAAUAAGCACCCGGUCAAACUCCCUAGCCACGAAUAGGAUCCGUCUUUGAAUCUCUGGCCUUGAAAGGGGUUCUUCAAGAGAAUGUCAGGCCUAUUGUCUUCCCAGACUCCAGUUAUGUCAGGCACAUAGUGAAUCUCAUCUUGAUUGACAUUGGAGGAGUCCUUGAUGGUCUUGCCGCCACGCCUCCUCUUAUUGUCCCAUGCUUUUUGCUCCUCUGCCUUAUACUUGUCAUCGAUCUUGCGGCCACCCAUGGACUCAGCGGCACCCAAGAGAGAGAAGGUAGGAGGGACGCUUCCAGCCUGUGCCGAUGCCAGCACGUGCAUCUGAACAUCUUCAGGCUUCAUCAUGCAUGUGUUUCCACAUUUGCGACAUGGACAACGCAUCAUCACAAGUCCUUUUCAUUCCAUAUCACCUUUCGUGACUCCAAAAAAGACCAUCCAUUCGGUUAUCCAUCGAGCAUUGAUUCUUUCCUUGGCGUACAUCCAAGAACGGUCCUUCGAUCUACAACACAAUACACAAGAAAACACAAAGCAAAAUAGUUAGUCUAAUCAUUGACAAGGGGAUUAAGGUUUUAAUUAACCGGGGCUAACUAAAAAUUUCAAAUUAGAGACAUUCAAAGAGAAAUUGGAGGCUGGUGAGAAAGAUCGGGAGGGAGAGAGAGCUCGCAAGGGAGAGGGAAGCUCCGGGCGACGACGAGGAUGCCGCAUUUUGGCCGGCGGACGGAGCUCAAAAAUUUAAAAUUGGGAAACUUCGGAGAGAAAUUGGAGGCCGGCGAGAUAGAUCGGGAGGGAGAGAGAGCUCGCAAGGGAGAGGAAAACUUCAGGCUCGAAGAUCAGAGCUCGCCGGCCAUGGGGAUGGGGGCCGCCGGCGCGCGCGGGGGGGUGGGGGGGGAGAGGAGGAAGGGAGAUGGAGGAGGGGUACCUGCGGGGCUCGCCGCCGGGCAAAAUCGGCAUGGCUUCGCCGUCGCCGAGGAGGAUGGGCCGCAGCUGGUCCGUUACGACGCGCAGCGCGACCAGCUGCGGCUCUGGUCUGCAUAUUUAAACCGCGACCCUCAUCGGUGGUGGUCGUGACACGGGCAACCGUUACUGAUAAUAGGGGAUACAUCAGUAACGGUAACUUUAACACGGCCCGUUACUGAUGCACCACACAUCAGUAACGGUCGCCCUAACGCGACCGCCACCGAUGUGUGUAUCAGUAACGGUCGCUCUCGGCCCGUGUUAAAGCGACCGCCACUCGACCGCCACUGAUGUAUGGCUAGGCGGGGACGGGCAGACCCCGCUCUGUUCAUCAGUAACGGUCGCGGCCGUGACCGACACAAAUGUUGUUCAUCAAUAACGGUCGCGUUGACAUAUAGACCGUUUUGUAGUAGUGAGGUGCCAACUCAAAUAUUGACUGUUCAAUCAAGACUUGAACAACUGAGAAACAUUAUCAGAAUGGGAGUCUGAAAAGCUAGAUGCCUAGCUUGCAGAAAGAAAGAAACCUCCUCUGUCCGAUGGAGCAUUGCAAUACUACUAAACAGUAUCAGUGAAGUACAGUAGUGUCGUGUGGCUGUAUUUUCUUCAGCAAAUUUCCUGACAUGCCCUUGCAAAAUGCACGACUGCUACACCAGUGUUCCAGAAAACACACGAGACAAUAAGAGAGGACAAUUUCAUUCAUUUAUUUGAUCAAAUCCCUUCCACGGCGUACACAACGAUCAUCACUUCUACAAGCUAGCCUUGGCGAAGGAGACGAGCCUGCGGCUGUUAGCCCCAGCCUUCUCAUAAACCACGGCCUUGAACGUCGAACUUCCUCCUCCUCCUGCUGCAACCAACUCCGGCGAGGCGUCGAUGAAGAGCUCGUAGGUGACACCGGCCACCAGCUGCUUCCUGCCGCUGACAACCUUGUUGAACUUGAGCCUGCAGUUGGCAUGCAUCCCGUACUGCGCCACAGCCCAGCUGCCCAGCUCCCGGAUGCUUGGGUCAUUCAGGUUCAGGAUCGGCUCCCAUGCGCCCACGGAGAGAUGCUCCGCGACUCCGGGUUCUUGCUUGAAUGGCUCUCCACAGCCCGUGGCGCCGUAGAUCAUGACCCCGGCGACGGCCAUGAGGAGGAAGAAGCUGCUAGAUGAGGUCCUCAUCUUUCUUUGUUUCUUGAUUCUUGAUUUGGAUGUCGGUUGUUUGAGAUGAGAUGGUUUAUGUGGUGAUUGUGUUCAACUGGAGUGGAAUUGAGGGCUGUUAAAUAGAUGUUGCUUUUUUUGGCAUCAUGAUCAGGAAGAUAUUAAUUGGAUGAUGGUGAUCCGAAUUAAUAGGCAGUUACAUGGACACUGAUCACAACCCGUUUUAUUGCUGUUUUUCAGGAGUCAGUUGGAUGCCUAUACUGAUAGGCAUUUAGAAGGAAAUUAGUUAUGACUGGCUGGGUGUGCAAGGGUUAAUUCAUUGGAUGCAGUAUCCAAAUAUAGCAGUCAUCAAGAAGGAGGGUGGUUAGGGAUGCGCUGAAUGGUGCGUGGCUGCUGGAUGUGGGGCCCAACUUGUCAGCCCAGGCGAUCGGCGAGUUUCUUGUGCUCUGGGAGUGGAUCCGCGAUGUCCAGCUGGUGGAUGAGGUUCCCGACUCCUUGUCCUGGAAUUGGUCCACCGAUGGGCGAUAUUCUGCCAAGUCGGCCUAUGCGAAUCUCUUUGCCGGCAUGACGCGUGAUCCUAUGGCAUCAGUGGUUUGGGGCUCUCGGGCGCCUGGGCGGUGCCGCUUCUUCGCGUGGCUAGCGGUUCGCAACCGUUGUUGGACGGCAUAUCGGCUGGAGAAGCGUGGCCUCCCGCGGCCCGACAAGUGCCCUCUUUGCGACCAGGAGAGGGAAUGUAUUUCUCACUUGCUGGUGGGCUGCGUGGUCUCUAGGAAGGUUUGGCUGAAGGUGCUCACCCUGGUGGGUCAUGGUGAUUGGUGUCCGAGCGCCAAAGCGGACCUGCGUGGACGGUGGUCCUCUCUUCCCUCCUCUCGGGGUGACGAAAAGACGCCUUGACGAUAGUUACCUUGGUCUUCUGGACCAUCUGGUGCCAUCGAAAUGACGUGGUUUUCAACGGGGCGACUUCGUCGGCGUUGCGGAUCUUCGAGAGGGUGAGAGAGGAGCUGAGUCGUUGGUUUCAAGCGGGGCUCUUCAGGAGUGGUACCCUCGUUCCGGCCCAUGUGGCGAGUAGGUGGAUUGUUAGCUUGUGAUCUUUUUUUUUGGUUGCCACUUUGUGGCGUUGUUUGCCUCUAUGGCGUGCGUUGUACUCAGCCUUCUGGCUCUUCUUUUUUAAUAGAUGAUGCAUCCGAUGGAUUGCAUUCUUGGAAAAAAUAAAUCAAGAAGGAGGUCAGUUACAACUUUUUAUUGGGUGCACCUGUUGUUUCAAGGAAGUAUGCCCGCACACUAUAUGUAUUGACUUAUCUAUUCUUUUUCAAAACUCAAAACACAUAAAAGUGUUCAGUAUGUGUGCAUGUUUCCAAGUAAUACCAGGAAAAAAAAUCAACACAUAAAAAGUGUUCAGUAUGAGGACACACCUUUCACAUAAAAAGGUGCUACCAAAUAAAUCAUAUGAACUUAGAUGAACAGAAAACAGAAUUAGCUGAACACUGAUUAUAUGGCCGUGUCAACAAUUAAUCGUAGCCGUAACGAUGCAUGUCAUUUUUUCGACUCAAACUUCUUUUGUAUGCAGUCUAAACUAGCCGAACUUAAUUACUCACAUGACAAAACAAGAAGAACAACUGAACAUAUCAACAUCAAUGCUGCCUUGUGAUUUAUUUGAACACAACAAUUCUGGUUUCCUGAAAUUGGUACUUCUUGCCGCCGUCUAGGGUUCCGAAGCCGCCGUCUAGGGUACUGAAUUUCAGUAUUCAUUGGAGGAAACCCUGGUGACCUUGGCCAAGCAGUUGUCCACUGGCCUGGGAUGAGGCAGGUACCUUAUCCGACAGCUUGGAUUUUCCCUUGUCAGCCUGCAUUCACAUGCAAAAUUUAAAAAAAAUUCUAGCAAAACAUAGCAGUUGAGAGGUACUAACACACAAUUCCCUCUGGAACUGCAAGGAGCAAUAACUAAUGGUGAAGGCUUACUUGUAGCCAAGGAGGAAAUGGUGGAGGAAGACGGAGAUCUCUAGCUUCGCAAGAUCAUUUCCGGGGCAGAGCUUCGGGCCGAGCCCGAAUGGAAGAAACGUCCCAACUUUGGGCGGCGGACCCUAAUGACAAUGCAGAAUUUGUAAGAGGUCGAUUCAAGAUCCUCGGUCACCUAAACUCGGAAUGCAGUAAUAGUUUGGAGAGAUUUAUUUGUUGGUUGAGAAUGGCCUGACCAAGGUACCUCCCAUCUUGAAGGGUUGAACUUGUUGGGCUCAGAGUACAGCUGAGGGUCCAUGUGCACGCUCCUAUACCACAACUGAACCUUCCAGCCCUUGGGUAUCAGAUAGCCUAUAUGUGGAUCAAUCACAAAGGCAACAAUUCAUCAAGACCAAAUGUGAUGGAUAAAAGAUAUGAUGAUUGACACGGUUGGAAAAGCAAAAGUGCAUGCACCGUUGACAAAGACGUCUCGAGUCGCCUGACGGAACGUCACGAAGGAGAUGUUGACGAAUCGCAGAGUCUCGUCGAUGACCUGAUAUAUAGUUGUUUGUUUCAAACGACAAUAUGGAUGAUCAAUCCAACAUUGCAAGAUGUAACUCGUUGAGGCAUGCAUUUACAUGCAUGAAUAUAAUUGCGAUCAACAAAACAACUAAGCAAGCAAGCAACCUGUGAGAGGUACUCCAUCUUCUUGUAGUCCCUUAGAGUGAGCCCCUUCUGCGUGAGCGGUAUGUUCUUCAUGAUCUCCUCCUGCUCGGCCUGAUCCAGCAAAGAGAAAUUAAGAAGAUGCAUCAAUGAUCAAUCCAUCACUUCGACUGAUUGCAUGAUUCGAUCGCGAUAAUGCUGCAACAAAAGUGACCUUGUGCAUCAAUCAGUGCAGACGCAUUACUCCAUUUCGAAAGAAAAUAGUAAAUUUAAAAAAGAAACACACGUUAUGUGUUUAGGUUUUCACAAGAUCAAGGUCAUUGCUAAUCGUCUCAUAGAACCACUGUUCUUUGGGCGGGCGUUCUCACAUAAGCCAAAUCUGGUAAUUAAUCCAUUUGACAGGCCGGGUUUCUGGCAAUUCUAGGUGACACGUGUCCGACUGCCGUUCCCUUUGACACGUCAGAUCAGGACCCAAUUCGGCUGAACCGUUUCCUUUGUCCAAUUCGGCUGACCCGUUUCCUUUGUCGACGUGUGUCAAAGGAAAAGGGACAGCCAAGACAUGUGCCAUCUGUUAUGCGAGCCACAACUGCCAUAAACCCUAUCAAAUGGCUUAAUCUAUUGGAUUUGGGUUCUGUGAGAAUGUCGUCCAUCCGAAGAGUGGUAACUCUCUGAGACAAUUAGCGAUCACUAUUGUUCCGUGAACACCUGAACGCAAAAGGUGUAGUUUUCUGAAAUUUACUCGAAAGAGGAAAAAAAAAUACCUUGGCCUUUGAGAGGAUGUGAGAGUUCUCCUGCAUGAAGACGGUGGCCCACAUGGUAAUGUGGGCAGAGGACUCAUGGCCGGCGUUGAGGUAGAGCACGAGCAUGUCGAUGAUCUCCUCAUCCUCCAGCCUCCUCCCUCCUUCGUCCUCCACCUCGAUGAGCCUGUCCAUCAUGUCCAUGUCCACGCUCGCUUGCCGAGGGCACCGUCGGCGAUCGUCGAGGACGCCCUGCAACACUGCCACCAGCUUUCGGCGAGCCUUGAGGGCCUUAUGGUAGGCGAAGCCGGGGAGGUUGAUGGCCAUAGCACGCAUGCCGUGGUUGAGCUCCGAGUAGCUCUGCUCCAGCGCCGCCAUGGUGCCUUCGUCCUCGGCAGCACGGCUCAUGAAGAUCCGCACAAUGAUCAGAAACGUCAUCCUCCGCAGCUCUGUCAAGAACUCCACCGGCUCCGAGGAAGAAGACCAGCGGCGGAGGGUUGAGGUGACGUUGUGGUCGAUGAAGCCCAAGUAGGCGGCGAGCGCGGUUGAGCCAUUGACAGGCGCCGCGGUGAGCUUGCGCAAGCGGCGGUGCUCGUCACGCGGCAUGGCGGGGGAGGUGAAGGACCGGGUGCCGAUGAGGUUCAGUGUCGCCUCCGGCCACCCGUUGACGAAGGCCACGUCGUCCAUCAACACCUUCUUACACGCCUCCGGCGUCGUCACCAGCACCGAAGGGCUGCUGUACAUGAAGGACCUGUACAGCCCUGUUCGCCCAUACCUGCGUGCAAUCGAUAUUCACCGGUGCAAUGUGUCAAAAACUUAUCCGAAUGUUGAUGGUUUCGUGAUAGAAAAAAAAAACCGAUAGUUGUGUGAUACAAGUCUGUUCACUCUUCUAUGUGGUGGUCCUGCAUAAUCUACUCGAUUUCCCUCCAAUUCAGUUCAUUUCCGAUGUGUUUCUAAGAAGAUAAGCCGUGGUAGGGUGACUUAACUUUAUUUGCUAAAUACAUGUUUGUUUAUUAUCUUUGGGAACAAACAUGCCACGCUGAACUCUGUUGUCGGAUAGCUAGGCCUAAUAUUGAAUUCCAUCAAAUUUUGUUUGUGUCACAUCCUGAAGCUUGGAACGAAAUUAUUGAUAAAGUAGCUAACAUUGUGUUGCAUAAUAUUCCAACACAUUGAACUGCCGGCCGAAGAGGACCCAUCCCAAUUGUAUCUUCAUUCUACGUGGAUUUUUCCUUCUGUCCAUUCUGUGUACUCUAUAGUAUGUAUGCAAAGACCGAGAAUUAAUAAUACUUCCUCCGAUUCAUGUUAUUUGUCAAAAUAUUACAUGUAUCUAGACAUUUUUUAAAUAUAGAUACAUCCAUAUUUGGACAAGUAAUAUGAAUCGGAGGGACCAGUAAUAAAAUGAAGCUUGUAUGACGCGUAAGUUGCUGACCUUCCGACCAAGGAGUCGAUGAAUGCGUCGGGCUUUCCGGACUUGAAAGCUCUCAGAAAAGCCCACAUGCCGCCGACGAGCGGCCAGCCCAUGUCCCCCGGCGGCAGCCUGGCCCGCCUCUCGGCGCCAAGUGAGCCCACCCAGUACCAUGCGUGGGCCUUCCGGACCACGCCGUCCACCACGACAACCACAGCAAGGCCCACCGCCACGGCAGCCCACCACCACAUCCUCGACGGCUCGACGGAGACGAACAAGACGACUAUCGCUGCCUUCUUGUGCUUUAAUAUCCGUGUGGAAGAAGCUUAAUUCGACCUAUGUCGGGCUUUCUCCUUCUCUCCUACCUCGGACAUUAUCUUGUGGUCAGACACUCAGACACAACACGCUUCAUCAGCAAACUUAAUGGGUGAUUAUAAACACAUAUCGUCUAGCUUAGUGUUGACAUUGACAUACAUACAAUGUUUUAAUUGAUUAUUAUUGUUACCGGCAGAUGAUGCGCUCAUACGGCUGCUAAUGCCUGACAGAAAAGAUGCUGUCGAUAAUCAGGACAAGAUGCUUUCUGGGUCCCCAUUGAUUCUUUUAUAUAUCUGCCAAAUUAAGAUGAUCAAUAUAUUUAGUCCACCCUCAUGGCCGCCAUAUGGCAUACAUAAAAGUUACCAUCAUGAGGUAAAAAUGUGAUCAGCUAGCUUGGAGCUUUUCUGUUGAAUUGGUUGUUUUGUUAAUCAAUGAUGCCUUGCUCUCAAACAUAAGGAAAAGAUACUAAUGUUGCGGGCAAUCGGGACAACAUGUCCGAGGUUGGCAUUUUCAUGGCAAGAUGCUUAUUAGUCUCCAUUGAUUACCAAAGAUGGUCAAUACAGUCGUCCCAUGGGCCGCCAUAUGGCAUAUAUAGGACACUUUUUGCAUAUAAAUUUUUCCUUCAAUAAAGUUAUGCUCAUGAGAAAAAUGUGAUCAAUUUGGAGUUCUUGUGUUGAAUUGGUUAAGUGUUGAGUUCAUCAGCGAAGCAGCAGCGCGCAUAUGCCUUUUCACAUGCCUAACACAUCGGAAACUAUUUAAUUUCGAAUAUAAAUCCAAUGGUAUAACUCUGUAUUAUUCUAGUUAAUCGAUGGAAAGUAUUGAAUUGGUUACUGAAUUUGAUGUUUUAUGUUAUCCCCUCCUUGAAUUUUUCCAAUACUUUUGGCUGUGUUCUUUUCAGCUUCUAAACUUGAUUUUUCCGAGAAGCUGCCCUCACACAACUUUUUAGAGAAACCGCUCCCCAAAUUUGAUUAGGCUUUCGAUUCCAAACUAGUUUAACUAAAUUUAAAAGCCUAACUAAAUUUUGGAGACGGCUUCUAGUGGAAACUAGGGGGGAGGGCAACUUCACAGAGAAGCCCCCAAAAGAACCUGCCCUUUGUCACCCAAGGACUAGUUACCCGUAUUCAUACGCUGUCUCCUGGUACCUAACGCAGAAGACAUUAGUUCGUCACAAACCUUAACUGGUGAUUAUAUUAUCUGCUGUUCGCGUUGACGUGGCAUGCAUUUUACAUCAUGGCGUCCACUUAAUUACCAGCAGAUGGUCUGCGGCUGCUGAUUAAUGAUGCCUCUCAAACACAAGAAAAACGAUAUCUUUACAAUUAUAAAGAUCUGAGUUGGUGGUCGCGAGUUCACUCCAACAAGACUACCAUUUAAAAGCUACGAAAUCAUUUAAUUGCCACUCAUUUCAUAUGUAUCAUGAUCUUUUGACUAUGCUUGAUUGGUUUUCAUGACUUUCAAGAGUAAUUGCAUUUUUCAAAAAUAAAAUUUUGACAUAAUUCUUAUUUAUCAUAAAUUUAAACAACUCAUGCAUAACACAAAUUUUUAAUUUUGUAGCAGAGCACGGAUAUUUAACUAGCUUUACUAAUGUUGUGGGCAAUCAGGACAAGAGGUCCGAGGAGGUCCGGGGUUGGCAUUUCCCAUAGCAAGAUGCUUAGGACUCUAGUCUCCAUUUAUUAUAUAUCCAAGACAUCAAUAUAGUCCCACGGCUUGAUUAGAACCCUUUUGCAAAUACUUGCUGAAAACGAUCCUUUUGAGUAAAUAGCCUAGGCGGUUGCAGACUACAAAACGAGAACAUGGCUCAAUAGGUUCUUAACUGGAGCCAUUUAAAUAUAUAUUUUCUUUGAGAAAGAGCUUCCAUUAGAUCAUAGGUAGUUACAGGGUAUAUCAGCCGUGCCCUGAGUUUGCCAUGGCAUCCCCCCGAGCAUGGAACCUGACGACUUGCUCGACCUGGCAAACUGCGCCAGAUUAUGCGCGUCCGAGAUGGCCGUCCGGCUAGCCCAGGAGCAGCGAAAGUCAACAAGGUUACGAAGCAAAUCUCUGAUAUCGGAGAUAACAAAGCAGAUGGCCGAUCGGUCCCGAGAUCAGGUCGAUGCAGUCAGAUUCCAGGUGGAGCUUCAUGCCAGCGUCUUCACAGAGGGCCUCAAUGCCGCAUCGCGCAGCGAUGGCUUCAGCUUCGACGACAGACACACACUGGCCAGAAAUUCCCCAGGCAGAAGCGAUAAUCGUCCCGGUGCUAGAACGCAGAAUGGAGCCCCACCACGACUCCCCAGUUUGUGGGAUAAAGCUAGCAUCACAGUUCAGUUUCAGCCAGUCAGCCGCCGCCGGCGUCCACCCGGCUCGGGGCUCCGAGCUCAUGUGCAUGCCAUUCUGCCGGUUGUCGUGAACUGCACGCUGCAGGCAGCUCCAGAUACCAGAUUCUGGACCUUUCAUAUUCUCCAAAGCCAACGAAUAGCUUCUUAUGCAUUGGGCAGAUUCCUCAAUCGUAGCCAUACUGGUGCCGAAGAUCGAGUCGUUUCUCAGAUGCCACACCCUCCACCAGAGAAGGAGCAAGCGCUGGUGAGUAAGGGCAUCAACAGAAUCAAGCAUGACCAGAACCCAGUCAUCCCCCUCUUGGCGAAGAGCACCUUCCUCGGGGAGCUUCCAAUCGCUUCUCAUACGAAGCCGUAGUGCUCUGGCUUUCGUGCAGUUCAUAACAGCAUGAAAGUUUGUUUCUUCCUCUCUCCCGCAUAUAGAGCAGGUCGGUCUGCCUUUCCCAAUUCGCCAAGACCGGAGCACUUGAACAGCAAGGGAAUUAGUGGCAAGCUUCCAGCCGAACACACGAACUUUGGGUGGAACAUUUGCUUUCCAGAUCACAUCAUUUAGUUUUCGAUCACCCUGGGGGCUGCCGCUAGACUCGCCCGUGGUGCUUGGCAUGGUCAUGUCAAGGGCCAACCGGUACGCAGAUCUGACGGUGAAGUUGCCGCUCUUUUCCCCCUGCCAUGCAAUCACAUCUUCUCCGUCUGAAGCUGGAAGUUUCAGGUUGAGGAUGGUUUCAGCGUCGUGAGGGUAGAAAAUAUGGUUAAUAAGCUGGGCAUUCCAUUCGCGCUGGCCCGGCAUAAGGAGAUCAGAAACACGGCGAAUCCUGGUAGGCGCAGCUUUGCCCGACACGCGAAGAUUCCCACGAGGCAGCCAAUUGUGUCUCCAAAUGUCCACUGACUUCCCAUUUCCGAGCCGCCAUAUGUACCCACUCUUUAGCAGCUCCAGACCGUGCUUGAUCCCUUGCCAAACCGGAGACGACGAUCUGAUAAACGCCGUAUCCAGCAGAUUGCCAUUGGGGUAGUACUUCGCCUUGAUGAAGCGGGCACAAAGACUGUCUGGUUUCUCCACGAGUCUCAAGGCCUGUUUUGCUAGAAGAGCCUGAUUGAAAAUUGCCAUGUCCUUGAAUCCCAUGCCGCCUUUUGAUUUCGGUCUGAUUAGCUUGUCCCAGGCAAGCCAGUGCACCUUCCUCCUAUUAUGUUGUCGCCCCACCAAAAAUUAUGUGUAAUAUGCUCCAAAUCCUCACACAGACCUUUGGUGAAUUUGAAAACACUCAUAGUAAACGUUGGCAGAGAUUGGAUGACCGAUUUAAUUAGGAUCUCCUUUCCACCGGCCGAGAGAUAUUUCUCGGACCAGUCGUCGAGUCUCUUCCCUGCCUUCUCCUUGAUAGUCUGGAAGCGGCCAUUUUUCAUUGCACCGUCCGAGACAGGGAGGCCCAAAUAUUUCUCAUCAAAGGUAGUGUUAGUCACACCCAGAAUGGCAGCCACAGCGUCACCAUCAGCUUGGGGCACUUGCUUGCCAAUCAAAAUAGAGCAUUUGCCCGGGCUAAGUAAUUGGCCAGUGCAGUUCUCAUACGAUGCCAGAAUAUCUCUGAUCACAAGGGCCUGCUGUGUAUUACAUUGGAAAAAUAAAAGGCUAUCAUCAGCAAAGAGGAGGUGAGAGAUACCAGGGCUCCGUCGGGUGAUCCUGAAGUCUCGCAGGGAAGCAUCCUCAAUGCGCCUUGUGAUCAGUGAAGAGAGACCAUCCGCGACGAAAAGGAACAGGGAGGGAGAGAGCAGAUCUCCCUGCCUAAGCCCUCUGGUCAGAACAAAAGGAUCCAGGAGAUGGCCAUUAACUUUAACCGAGUACCUGACCGAGGAGACGCAAGUCAUAAUCCAAGAAAUCCAUCUCUCCUGAAAACCGAAUUUCCAUAAAGCCGCUUCCAAAAAACCCCAAUCGACACGUUCAUAAGCCUCUGCCAGAUCAAGUUUGUAAGCACAGAAGUCCCCAUUCGCCGUACUGUGUUGGAUUGCGUGGAAGCACUCAAAGGCGAUGAUGGCAUUGUCCGUGAUCAUCCUGCCGGGGAUGAAGACACUUUGGGCCCCGGCAAUCAACUCAUUCAGAAUAGGCUGCAAGCGAUUAACAAGACAUUUGGCCACCACCUUGUAGAUCACAUUGCAAACGCUGAUAGGCCGGAAAUCCCUGAGACGAGUGGGGUUUUUAAUUUUCAGAAUCAGGACAAUCACCAUGUCAUUCACGCCCAUCGGCAUGGAUCCAGUCUAAAGAAUUUCUUCACAGCAGCAAGGAUACUAUGCUUCACCGUCGCCCAACGUCACUGGAAGAAACGUGCCGGAAAUCCGUCCGGGCCCGGCGCUUUAAGAUGACCAAUCUAGAACAGGGCAUCACUAAUUUCUUCAUCGGUGAACAUCUUGCACAGGUCAUGGUUCAUUUCGGCAUCAACAGCUUCGAUGCAAUCAAUGAGAGGAGCAGGCUGAACAGAAGCAUCCUUAGUGAAUAGGGCCUGGAAGUAGUCCGUGGCCAUAUUCUCAAUUUCAGCCUGAUUAUCCGUAAGCGUGCCAUCUUCCUUAUGGAGUUUCACGAUGCUAUUCUUUUUCACCCUCCACGAGCCUUUCCUGUGGAAGAACGCCGUAUUUCGGUCGCCAGCUUGAAACCAGUCAACUCUUGAUCUCUGAUGCCAUUUCAUCUCAUCUUUCUCCAACAGUUCGUCAAUCUCAUUUAAAUAUUUUCUUGCUAGGCAUGAAUGCAAAAGAUAUGAACACAAAACAUUGGGUAUCUACUUUCGCCUACAAAUGGUAUGUUGCCAAGUAUGUACUCAAGCACACAAGGAUACUACAUAUUGAUGUUACAUUGAGAAAUGACCUAGAGAAAUCUACUUGGCCUCUAAUGUACGGUGCAGCUGCUUCUCUAUUAAUUGUCUGCUCAAUGUCAUCAAUUGAGAAAUUUGAUCGAUAUGGUUUGCUCACAUGUUGACCAAGAAUAGCUCCAAAAACUUCAAUUUUGUACAUUAUGAAAUCACAAAGAAACGCAAGAAACAAAAGUAAUAAAUAAUAAAUCAGCUGCAUACAAGAAUCAAAAUUUGCGAGCUUCGCAAGUGUAGUAACCUCUGCGAAGAAACAUCCUGAUCAUUUGAUGUAGUCCCUACAUCCACAUCCAUCAGGUCAUUGCCAGAGCUGGGAGUACAGAAAGAUAAACAUGAGGAUAUGUUUAAUACGAGCUAGAGAUAAUUAAUUGUAAUAUUUUCAAUUUGCAGCAAUCAGUGGACUGUUUUAAAGAGCUGGCAGCCAUGCACACCUAGCAAGUGUGUUAAUCAGAGUAAGGUGUGACAGUUUGGUGUGUCAAGCUAUGUACGUGUGCUUCGGUGCAAACUAAAGCUUUGAAAAGUGGAGUCACUAUUUAAAGUUCUUGAUGUAUUGCAUGUUCAUAAACAAUGUCCUAAUGUGUCAUUGGUUAUGACCACUUGAUAUUGGCUUGCAUAUGUCAAUGGAGAAGGACAUUGUACAAUUCUCUAACAACUCAAAUCAACAGAUCAAAGUUAAAUUGAGAUUCAUUUUUGGUAAAGACCAACAGAGAUAAGAAUAGGACAUAAAUGCACAUACUGGAUACUGUAAUUGAUGAGAUAGUUCUUUAAAAGAGAGGCUUGACACUAUCCAUGAAGCCGUGAACUCACUUUCAUGCCCAUCUGCAGUGCCACCAGUUGGACCUCAAUGCCCAUCUGCCGUGCCACCACUUGCAUCUGCAUCAUGUUCAGCUUGUUAUUUCUCCAUCUCUCUCUGUUCACGGCCUUCCUUCUCAAUCAAUUCCUUAUGGAAUAUUGCAAGAUUCAGAACUUGCAAUGCAGCCUCAACAUCAGUUUUGAGAACCUGCAACGAGAUAUAGGCAAUGCCAUUAGCUUUUCUCAAGGAAAAAUGUUCUGCAUCUGCUGUCCUUCAAAACAAUGAGUACAACUAUUUUUUUUUUUAAAAAGAACAGUUAAUAGUAGCAUGAUUUCUUGGUCGUGUUUCACAAAAAAACAGGGCAUGCUUAAGUAACUGAAACUUCAACUCAUCUAGAUAGGUCUUGUUACAGGUAACUUGUUUUGAUAAUUGGAUUAAACAAAAAUUGUAAUAUGGAGAAAAGUACCUCAUACCUCAGUUUCAUCUUGGCAUGGGCAGUAGAUACACGAAUUAUUGUUUCCAAUGUCCUCGCUGUAAUUGGAAGUGUACCUCCACCAGACUAAAAUAUGAGGAUGAGAAAAUGACAAAUAUAAACACAUACCAUUAAUAAGAAAGGAAGGAGUCAUGCUCACCUUUGCAUUUGCACCACCACCCCUGAGAUCAACAUACGAAGCUGCAAUAUGAUCAGAUGCCUGCAAGAGCUGUAGAGCACAUGAGUUAAGAUUGUAUGUGGCUCUUGUACAAUGGAUAAAGCUGUUGACAUAGCAACAAAAUGCACAAGUGAUAUGAAGAGAGAGAGAGAGAGAGAUGGUAUGCCAGCUGAAGCAUAAUUGUGACCAUAAUUGGUACUGUAUAGUGGCUAGUGGAUAACCCAUAGACUCGAAGAAGAAUUUCUAAUCCUAAAUAUUCCUAAUUGCCGGCCGAUUUUUGUACUUGCAUAUAUAGACGUGGUCAAGGUCAGGGGCUGCCAGUCCCAAAUAGCACUACUAUCUCAUAUCAAAAAUGGAAGGUUACCUCAUCAGUGAGCUUAGGCUGAAUAAGGUUCUUCUCAUAAUGAAUAUAUUUCUUCAGAAAUUUCACAGUCGGCGUAUCCUACUAGGCCUUCUUGCCCCUCCUUCUAUCCUGUCCAUGGAGCAUCCUAUCAUAUUUAACAAAUUUAGCUGCAUUAGCAUCACCAUCUUCUUCUUCAGUGUUGAGGCACGCUUUCGCGAGCCGCCAGGCUCAGUUCUAUUUAGAACGCAAGAAUUAUGUGGGACAUUUAGUGCUAAGUGAGACCCAGUGAAUUCUACAGAUCGCACUUGAGCAUCCCUGAAUUCUGAAACCCAGGGUUGGUACAAAAGACAAGGUAACCAAGUGGCCAUCUUUAUUCUACUCUCUUUGCAGUUAACACUGCUCAAGAGUACUACCAAGGCUUUUUCUUUUUAAGGGAAAGAGUGCUACCAAGUCAUCUCUAAACCAGUUCCACAUUACUUCCUCUCUCUACCCUUUCAAGAACACAAUAUGAACCAGCAAAAAUCUGAGUGAAAUACAAUUUGAUUGCAGCCUUGAGCACUCGCUUAGCUUUUUUCAUACAUAUGUAGCAUCUCUUGCAUAGACAAUGUGUUCAAAUCAAUAAUGUUACAUCAGCCACAGUACUUCAUCUCAUAAACUUACUCAUGCAAUGGAUUUUCGUUUCCCUUACACCUUUUCAAGAGGCUAAUCCCACAGAAAUAUUCAACUUUGAGCCUAAUAUUGGUACAAAUUCGAUCUGAUUUUUGGUCAUUAGUAUCAACACCUUAUCACAAAGGCUUCAUCUGAUCCAAUAACCAAGUUGUUUUCAAAUGGACGAGGUUCAUUUGCUGUUUAAGCUUUACUCAUCUCAUAGAGGUGCCAUAUUUCCCCGUACAUAUUUGCUCCUACCACUUAACAAAACAAUAAAGUAAGUUUCAUAAAACCAAAGCCGACGUUGGGAGGUCACGGGGUGCAGCAGCCAUCAAUGAUGGGUAUUCUACGGCAGAUCUACAAGCAGAAGAAUUACCAAAAUAGGGUGGCUGGAGGCAAGAACAUAUCCAGCCAGAGUGGGAGAUUUUGAAACCAUAUAGCUAUAUAAAAUCUACAGUGUUCUUGAAAUAAACAGACCGUCUAUGUAUUGUGUAUGCCAAACUUGUGACAUAAGAGUUUACUCCACUUCCAGGAGUAUUUAUUGCUAUCCAUAUUAGCAUUAUUGCUAUUCAUAUUGGAUAUAUGGAAGGGAAAGUUAAAUGCAUAAAAUAAAAAGUCAUAAAUCAUAAUUUGAGUAAAAGAGGCUACCAGGACAAAAAAAAUCCAUCUCUAAAUUAAUAAUACGAUAAGCAUGUAUAAAUCUAUACACCAUUGGUUAUUUUCCAUGCACAUUAAUUCACACCGACAAGCUGCUGUUUGUGAACUGCACACAAAAUUUAAGAGUAAUAAGCUUAAUAAGAAGAGGGAAAAGACCUCACCUCCAGCUCAAAUAGGCAGCUCCGCCGGACUCUCCCCUUUCCAGUAAAAUUUUCCUUGGGUAUAUAGAAUAUCUGGUGCUUGCAUAUUCUAUAUUUCAAGUUGGGAAGGUUACAACCUUCUUGGAUAGCUUCAGGACAAGAAGAGAAAUAAGCCAAAUAUUAGUACAACUAUGGUGAGACAUAAAUCUAGUGUACAUGACAAGCAAAAGCAGUACGUAUUGCAAUGAAAGUUUUGGGGAUUAACCUUUGUGUCAUUUGAACAUAUAACAAGCAACCCACUUCACAUGUGAUUGCAGCCAUCAGAUAAAACAUAUUUAGAAUGGGGCAAAGAUCCAAUAAUGAUACGAAGCAGCAAGCAAACGUUACUGAAAUUUCUGUAGUGGGGAAGGUUUGUCAAACCUAGAAGACUUGCACUUUCUAUAGCAAAAGAGAAGCACUCUAGAAAAUCAGCAUCUUCUUCUACAUCACUUGGUAAAAAAAUGCAUCAGUUAGCAAUGAAGCAAAUAUAACAUAAUAAUUUGAAGCGAACGGAAAAACAUAAAUAAUUUCGAUAAGUUAACCACCUUUAGAAAGUUUAUUGGUGGCUGGCUACAUUCAGCACCUAAAUGAAACAACUUUAUUGCAUGGUUGUAACAUUUGGAACACAGCUAUGUACCCCCACGAGGUCAAACAGAUCUCACCCAUUUACAUAGAUUUCAGAACUGAGAUUUUACUUGUCUAUUACUUAAUUCAAGCAUCAGAAGAAACAAAAACAGUAAAUUUUCCGCAUGUUCCUUUCAAUAUCCUGAGCUGUAUUUCUUUCUUGUCCUUUUGUUCAACAAGUAUAGCCCUUUUUGGUUAGGGCUUGUUCCUUGAAUUCACAUUAGCAGCCACAUACUUGCGUUGCUACUCAGCUUUCCUUAGUAAGGUGGGGACGAAUAAAAGUUCCUUUGUUUUAAAGGAGUGGAAACUGAAAUCAUAAAUGUAAAGUUGCCAUGGUAUAACAAGAAAACACGGUUAAAUGGAAGGAAAUGUUUAAGAAACUCAGGAAUGAGAUUGCAAUUGACUAAAAGAGCACACAACCAAAUUAUGAAAAAGCAACCUGAAGGUGAAAACAUCUGCAUAGACAACCCAUGUAGGUGAAUCCACAAUAUAUAACUCUUUGCUUUCUGAUACAAGGGCCUGCACGAAAGCUUUGCAUCAAAGUGCAUGUAACGUACAUGGAUCUGCUAAAAAUAACUUCAAUCAUGUACUCACCAUGUUCUGAAGGGAGUGUAGACCAAGUAUCGAACAUAGCUCUUUUUUCUUGUGGUUAACCUUUCGGUAAAUGAAACAGUAACUCGGAUCAAUCAGAACAAAAAAGUACGGGCCUAAAAAAUGUAUGGUGGCGAGGUUUCGGUAUUAAGGAACAGAGGGAGUAGUACAUUGGGGGAAAGGAUAAGAACCAAGUACCUCGUCAUACUUCUACAUACGCCACAUUAAAUUCCUGAAGUAUUUCUCUUUGUAAUCCCUGUAUGCAAUGAUAUCAUAUAAAGGAUUGAGGUCCCUAAAAGUAAAUCAAAUAAUUUAUUCAGGGCAUAUUCAUAUUCUAGCUAGCACUUAACACAUAGAAACGGAUCACAAUCGUUUAUUGGAACGGCAUGCAUUUUCUGGCACUUGCAAGACAACAAUACUUUGUACAGGAGAUGCAGAUGCGUUGGCACCAAAUAUGUGAAGAUCAUAUUCAGGUUCAGAGAAAGCAGCAAAGCCAAGAACCUUCAUGGGCAUAAAAGAGAACUUAAAUAGCACCCACUUUGGUCAUGAACCGACUGAUGUUCUGGACUAUCAUUGAACUUAGAUAGCACUCUCUUUAUGUAUGGUAAAUUUUACCACUGAUACAUUUAUAUAGCAUACUAAAAAUGAAUUAUCAUUGAAGAGUCUUGUGAGAUACAUAUAUGCCAAAUCAUUAUGAUGUACUCCGUAUCUACAACAUGCAUAAACAUACCAAUUGCCAAAAUUGGAAAGUUUGACUGCCUAAUAAAAAAAAGUCAUUAAGCAUGUGAAAGACCUAAGUAAAACAACAAUAGGAUCUCAGGUUGAUCCUGUUGUGGAAGUAUGAUGGAAAGAUGCUCAUGUUUACCAGAAGAGAAAAAUUCUAGAAGAAACACCACGCUUUCUCUAUUCAAUUUCACCGUUGCAGCAGUUUCAGGUUAAAAUAUUCCAAAAGGUGAAAAUGGUGAGAAAAGGAAGGAGGAAAAAUGAAGUGCAAAGAAAAUACACACCUCAUGUCUGAUACGGAGAAGUAUGUGUGACAUCAAAAUGUAAAGUAAGAAAGAUCUUCCAUCAGCGUUGGUGUUUCUAAAUCAAGUGAGAAUCAAAUCUCCUUUAGGUCCAAGAGCAACUCUUAACCUGAAUUUAGAGCUGUAAAUGAUAGUUAGUACAAACACAUACUGGUGCAGAAUCAAACAUUUGCAACACGAAGAAAGGAUGGUUGAACACAAACCUGUGAGGCCAGAUCUGAAGAUCUUCAGAAAGCUUCAGCAUGAGAUCAGCAAGAGUUUAAAUACCAGUAUUUACUGGGAGAGGUGGAGGAUAAUCAUCAAUCAACCAUAACCUCCGAUCCAUAAUAAGUGUCGCUGAUUUAGUACAAAGUUGUACUAAAGUUAUACUAAAUCAUCGACACUUAUUAUGUAUCGGAGGGAGUAUACAGUUUAUUCUUGUUCCUUUCAGUUUUCUGAAUGUUGGACACUCUCUAUUCUGAGCACUGGUUUCAUUUAACGGGGCGUUGUCUGAUCAAACGAAAAUAGGAUAUACUCUUGCACCAGUUUUCUAAAUGUUGGACCAUCUCCCUAAUCAUACGAAAAUACGAAAUAAAGCCACAGUUUGCAGUUUCAGCAUGCUAUAUCAUCAGAGAAACAAUCUAACACCACCAAAACAUGGUACUUUGCAGUUCUAGCAUACGCUCUCGUCACACACAAACAUCCUUACACCACCAAACACGCCACAAUUUGCAGUUCUAGCACAAAAUAUUGAUUUCCAGCUAUCCCCAUCAAAAAGCUUGGUUACCAGCCUGCGCCCGUCAGUCGAGCAGCUCGAUGAGUGUCUUUCUCACCUCCUUGGUGAGGUCGCCGCGGCGCAUCUCCACCUUCAUCUGCACCAGCCUCUGCCUCUUGAUCUUGGCAUCCAUCACUCGUGCCUUGUCGUCGUCCAUCUUCCCGAACUCCCUCUUGAACAGGCCAGGGUGUUCCGCCUCCAGCUCCUUCACCUCCUCUGCUAGGUAUGGGUACAGCUCACACAUCUCGGCGAAACUCCUAGGCUCGUCGCCGUUCGCCUUCGCCGCAGCAGUCUUGCCGCUGCCCCAUAUGAUGUUGGAGAGGUCGUAGAGCCGGCGGUCGUGUUCCUUGGUCGGCACCUCACCCCUCUUGAUGGCAUUGUUGUACCGCUGCCUCAGAGUAGUUUGCUUGGAAUGGAGCUCCUUGCUGCCGUAGGUGCGGUUGUCGAGCUUGCCGGCGAGGGCCUCCAUGAGAGCGUCGGGGUGCGGCAGCACGCCAUGCUCCUGGCGGUGAGCAACGAGGGCCUCGAGGAUGCGGACCUCGUCGUCGGUGGACCAGAUGCGGGGGAUGCCGCCUGGCUUCUUGGCCUCGCCCGACGACGGGGGCGGCUUCAGCUUCUCCGCCUCCAUCUUCGCAGCCUGCUCUGGCGGCGGCGCCUCCUCGUCAGACUCAGAUGACUCACCCUCCUCGUCGGAUUCCUCGCCUUGUUGCUGUGGGGCUGGAAGCGGAUUCUUGGGGGCCGCACGAGCGGGCUCUCGCUCCUCUUCAUCCUCGUCAUCUUCCUCUUGGUCGUCAUCGUCGGUGGUCUCGAACUCCUCGCCCUUGUGCGGCGGCGCCGGCGGGUUUGUGGUGGGAGGGGGAGGGGACGCGAGGGCGGUCUCUUCGUCCUCCGACUCGUCGGAGCGCGAGCGGGAGUCGGUCUCCUCGGAGGAGGCGACCGGCGGUGGCGGCGGCUGGGCCUGGCGCUUCGGGGCCAUUGCCGGAGACCAGGGUUGGUUGAAUGUUUGGAGGAGAGUUGUGCGGCGGCGUCGGCUCGAAUGGGUUUCUGCCGCAGCGGAGUGGGGACUAAUAAAAGCAUCAGCUUUCUGGGCCUCGCAUUCCUUCCUGACGCCUCAGCUCCCAAGGCCCAUCUGGGCCGAGCCACAACUUUUCUUUUCUAGUUUGGGCUGAGAGAGUUCUGGCGGCCCGUAUUUAAUUAUGGCUUGAAAAGACCCAGCCCAGUAACUUCCACAGGCGAAAACAGUCAGUUUCGUCUUGUCAGUUUCGUACUGCUCAGUUUAGCUGGAAGAGAUUCAUCUGAUUCUAAAAAAAAAAAAAAGGAUGAGCUUCUCCAUGGACAGAGCCAUGAGGUCCACCACCUCCUCUGCCAUGGCCAUCUCUGAAUCCACCGCAACCCCACAGCUGCAGAAGAGACGCUUCAGACUCUUUAAAUCCUCAGCCACGGCAUUGUGGUCUUCUCGACUGAAUGACCGCCCUCUGCCGCCAGCUAGGAGCACCAUCAGGAAGGGCCUUCAUUACCCCGCGCACCACCGGUCACCGGGGACGCUGGCAAGGAAUGCUAGGUUCUGCUGGUGGUGGGCCGCACCCGCGUUGCCACCUGAACCCUCGCCGUGGUAACAGCAGCAGUGUCACCAAUGCCGCUGCCACAGUUGAGGUUGAGCAGUCCCGGUUGCACCUUGUCAAGGGCGGCAAUGGAGGGAUGUAGCUCUCCUUGGUCCCUGUACCACACGUGGAAACAAGGAGCGACACGUACCGAUGCACAAGCCGGUCGAUGCUGUCGACGAGAUGCUCGUUGUGGACCGUUGUUGUUGACGAAUCUCCAUCUCCGUGAGCUCAUCCACCGUCGCCUUGGCUAAUCUCAUGAGAUCCACAGCAUAUUGUGCGUAAGGCUCGCUGUUGGAACUGGGGUUCCAAGUCUCUGAAUCUCUUGUUCUCCUGACACUCUGCCCCGAUCUGUAGCCGCUCAUCCAUCCACCCAUUGACGAGGCCAAGAAUGAUGGAGUCCACUUCGUAACUCGAGAUGCCACUGUCGUACACAUCAUCAUCAUGUGCCAUCUGUACCAGGUAUUUGUCUAGUUCGGAGGCCGUCUGCAGGGCACGCAUAGACUCGCUGCUGAGGCAGCUGCUGGCCAUCUUGGACACAUAGCGCUUGAGGUAAGUACCGAAGCAGGUGUGCAGAGUGAUGGCAGCAAUGGCGGUCGGGCAAGGGUGCCAUUGCCUCAAUAUGGGGCCAUACGUCUUUCUCCACCCUCGCCAUUUCCUUGGUCUGCGCGGCCACAUAUAUCAGGGUCUCGCUAGGGUCUUCCUCCACUUCCACCAACAUGCUGCUGUUCCCCCCGGCCCUGGCAAUGCCACUCUCGUCCACCUGCAUUAAAUUUAAAUCAUCCAUUUUAAGUAAUUACUUAAUUCAUUGCACAGUGAGUAUGUACGUGAUUAAUUAAUGGGAGAGAACUCAUUGCAAAGUAACUCACCUUAGCGAAAGCAUGCUAUACCGAAGAUUUGAUAUAACGUUCAAUUAGAUCAGCAGCAGUAGCAGAAAAAGAUAAUCCUGCAGUAGCUGGAAUGUGUUGGUUCAACAUCUGUGCCGCUGAGACAGCGAGUGCCACAACAUUCUGCAUUGCACUUCUAUCAAACGCCUCAUGGUAAUCCAACAGCUUGUUUUCUGCCCAUGAGUGGAUGGAGGCUAGUGUUGCAGACAAGACUCUGGUAUAUCCUGGCUCCUGCUCGGCUUGCUUGGUGUCGUUGGAGACAUGCUGGAGCAUUGCCAAGGUAGCCGACAGCAGGUCUGGCUCUAUCUGCCCAGUAGUGACAUAUCUCUCAAAGAGGACCCAGGUGAAGCAGACAUUGUGGAUCGUCUUGUUGAGGCCCAGAAUGUCCCAUGUCUUCUUUAUCAACUCCAACAGCUCAUCAACCUCAUCCAACACAGCCAUCUCGUCCCUAAGGCCAAAGACGGCACGAAGAAGGGACAAAUCGAGGUGCACCUUGAGGGGGUAGCCAUCAGCCCAGUGACAAACCUCAACGGAGCACCACGCCAGAGCCAUCACGUCAGUGGAGAGCGCGCGCACAUCGAUCUGCGGCUCGGUUGAUCUGAUCAUCUCGCGCAGAGAAGACGCCACGGGGCUCCGGUCAAGCGGCACAAAUGGGUGUGAGAUGAGGCCUGCCUCAAGGAGCUUGAGUUGGCGAAGCUGCCAAGAGUGGUACUCGCUUGUGUCAGUAAACUCGGAAGGCCUUGAGAUGUCGGAGGAGCUCCAUGGGAAGCACCAGUGAUUCUGACUUCUUGGGCAUCUUUGACCAACCAAUUUGACAUGCAUGUAGGCACCCAAAUGAAUCAAUGAACAUACAAAAAUUUAUUUUCUGAAUGACAAUAUGUAUGGAGAACAGGAGAUACCUGGGGACCGAUGAGGAAGCGGGUGAGGGUCUUGCGGAUGCGGCCGUCAGUCUGCUCGUUGACUCCCAUCUGCCGCCGCAUGAUCUCCGCCGACGUCACCGGCCAGGCUCCCACCAUGGGCCUUAUCUUCUAGCGCGCAGGCCAAGGGACCGCUUCAGGCGGCUCAUCACAGCCAUGUUCUUUGCACCCGCCGACAUCUUGCUUCCCUGACCCUCAUGAUGAUCCCCAGCGACUGCGAGGCGCCCCCGGCAGAAGUGGAGCGGCAGGCGGCAAAGAAGAUUUCAUAGGCAGAGUUGCGAACCUCGUCACUGUUGAGGGAGUCGAGGCGACCAAAGGGCCAUUGGAGAUCAGGAGGAAAUGGGUCUGGAAUGGCACCAGCAACCACCGUCUACAGCAAGGAGAGACGGCGGCAGGCCAUUGAUAACCAACCAAUUCAACACCGUCCGGCAUGAGAUGGAGGGUAGGAAGGCACACGCGCAUGCAUGAAAGAUGCAAUGCGCAGGCACCAACAACAGUACAACCACUACCAGCCAUGGAAAUAUGCAAUGCAAACCAGCUAGCCUUGAUUGAUUGCCUAAAACAAGCUAGGAACAAAAUCGAUCUGCUAUAUAUAGCCUAUAGAUAGAUAGCUUAGCUAGGAAUUAACGAUGGAUAAAACUGUAGUAUUUUGAUUACAUUUCAGAAAGAAGAAUCCAGAAAAUAGGCAAGUAACGUACGCCAUUUCUCCAAGAAUUGGCAUACAGGCAGCAGCAUUCGCAUGUCAAAACACCUAAUACAGCGGAAGCAAACUGAGUGGCCAGAACAAGCUAGUGAUGCAAUUAAUUAAUUGAUGAAACUCACAAGAUGUUACAUGGCCACCAAAACUGAGGCAAAGGCAUUAGCUGCAUGCAUGUGCUCAUAUAUCAGCAGAAGAAAUGAAACAGGCAGCAGCAAGCUAGCAACCAUACAUACAUUUGUUCAUGUUUCCUUCUAUCUCCGCCCAUCCAGCCCUCUUGAGUAUUCAGCAUAAUACUGGCUUCUUGUUUCACUACGUCUCGUACAUAGUAAACAAGCAGAAAGCAGGAAAUGACCCAUCUUCUACCACAGCACCUAUGUAUCAGUUGCUGUCCUCUGUCCACACAGCCAAGUGCAAAGUUGGGCACACAAGGAAAUGGCGUCCUCCCGGUUGCUGUCAAAACAACACAGUCCCCGUCACUAUGAUGCAAGUACAGACUUAUAUAUCUGCCUAUGUGAUACUACAUACACUCAGUCACAAAACAUACAAUAUACAUACGAUGCAUGAUCCACUUAUCACUUCACCAGGCUGCCAGUGGGCAGCACAGCAUAUGUAUAUAAAUUCGUGUAUAUCACAUUUGACAUUAUACUAUAGAGUAAGGUGCAUAAUUUUCGAGUGUGAAUUUCGGAAUGGCAACCGAUCACACCUUAUGGACUGAAGAUAACCAAACAUUCAAAGAUUUUAUAGAAUUGGUACACACACAGGAUGCCAUACUGCCAGUGUACAUGGGUGUGAUGAAAACAUCAAUAUGCAUGAUGGCAAAGCAUACUUGCAUUCUGUACCUCUAAAUCAACCAAGCAUAUGAACAUGUGAAAUAGUUGGGAAAAGUGAGGAGUUGGGGGUGUUUAGCUUGCAAAGAGAAGAUGGAUAUGGGAACUUAUUAUCAGAGUCAUUUGAGUCGGUUGAUCCCUUCCGCUUGGUCACCAAUGAUGCAAUAUAUAUUCGACGCAUGAUCCAAACUUAUCACUUCACCAGGCCGCCAGGGGGCAGUGCAGCAUAUGUAUAUAAAUCCGUGUAUAUCACAUUUAAUUUUGACAUUUAUACUAGAGUAGGGUGCAUAAUUUUCGAGUGUGAGUUCCAGGAUGACAGCCGAUUGCACUUCAUGAGCUGAUGAUUUGUGGACAACAGCAAACAAGGAUUUAACACUAGAUGCAAGCUAGGUAAUUUUCUGGACUGAAGAGAAAACACACUCAAUGAUGUUAUAGAACUGGUACACACACAGGGUUCCAGACUGUCAGUGCACAUGGGUGUGAUGAACUGAUGACAACAUCAGCAUGCAUGAUGGCAAAACAUAAUUGUAUACUGUACCCUAGACCAACCAAGUAAAUAAACAUGGGAAAUAGUUGGUAAGGGAAAAGUGAGGAGUUGGGGGUGUUUAGCUUUACUGGACCAAUGGAGUGUGAGAUCAAACUUGGUAGACGUCAGUGGCUCAUCAAACUUGAGGCUUGUAAUCUUAAAACUACAAGUUGGGGCAAGAGAGGAGAACUAGCUAGGCAUGUUAAUCAAGGGAGCACUACUACUAACUGAUUGGUAUUCUUCAAGUAAUUGAUUUAGGUUGAUUUAAUUACAUGAGGUUUGGAAAACUGAGUGUAAUUAGGAAGAUUACAACACGAGCAGAGGGUGAAUCAGAACCAAAUCAGUAGUACCUUGGCUGGAACUCGAGGACCUGGGUGAGGCUGCAGUCGUUGAAGCGCACUUUCCUCUUGGCGGAAGCUGCCUUCUUCUUCUCCUUGACCAACAACUUGUCCCCUUCUCCUCCUUCUCCCCCUUCGCCCAUCAAAUCCAAAUCCAAAUCUUGUUCCUCGCUGCAAGAGCGGAGAGACGAUGCCUUCUUGUUGGUAUCUUCCCCAUUACACAUGCUGUGAUGAUGAUUCUUCUUGGCCUCCGCGGAAUCAGACUCCAUGCAUCCCCCCCCCACCCCCCCCUAGCUUCUCCCCCCAAAUCAAGAAUUACUUACUGAAGACCAAGCCAUCCAUCAUCAGCAAGAAGAAAAUCCCAACCCCCGACGAACAAGAAGAAAAAAGAUUCCGGAUUGGAGGAGGUAGUCGUACCUUGUUGCGGUCGGGCCAUGAAGAUCAAUCAAUCCAGACUGACUGACUGGCUCUGAGGCUCUGAUUAAAAAAGAAGACGCAAAUUGGUUGCUUAGAGCGGAAGGAAGCGAGGGGGAGGAGACGCGCAGAAGCAAGGCGCUCGAGGAAUCCACGCGGAGGAAGAAGAGAUGGAAGAUGCGUGCUGUUCUGUGCUGGAGGAGGAAUCAAUCAGCCGAGCCGACGAGUGGAGAAAGAAAGAGACAGAGAGAGGGGAAGGGAAGAUUAGGAAGGGGAUUUUGUUGGUCAAAAACAAAAGGAUUGUAUUUACUUCUUCUUUUUUACUAAACCACAAUAUAAAUAGAUUUUGUACCGUGUGUUUCCCUUUCCUACCAGGUUUGUUUGGCAGGACUUUCCAUUUUGCACCAUAUAAUCCGGUGGCGAGGGACACAUACAAAUCUCUUGGAUCAAAUUCCAGAUUUUAGGAUGGUACUCUCUUCGCCACAUUUUAAGUAUCCAGAUACAUGUAAUAUUGCAUCAUUUAAUAUGGAUCGGAGGAAGUAGUUCUUGAGAGAGACAUCAGCCGUGGCUUCGUUCUGUCGACGCAUGGUGGUUUAUAUAGGUGUUUUAAGGUGUAAUUGUGUUCCUAGGAAAAUUAUUUUAAUCCAUCAAAGAAACAACAUUUUUUGGAUUUUUUAGUUGACCAUAACCUUGGGCUACGAUAGGUCGGACCCACCUGUCACUCCCGACGUGGCAAACUAACUCAGAAACGUGAAAAUUUCCGGCUGCAAACCGCAAUGAAUUGACUUAAAUUAUCAAUUGAGGUGUCAAUUUUAGGAAACCACGAUACAAAAAUUCCACUGUUUUGUUCUCGUACUCCCUCCGUCCCAUAUUAAAUGACGAAAUAUUACAUGUAUCCAGACGUUUUUUGAGCAGAUACAUUCAUGUUUCGACAAAUUUGGGUCACUUAAUAUGGAUCAGAAGAGUAGAAAAUAUGUUUUUUCACAUUUUAACUAAUCUAAUUUUGCUCAAUCGAAAAGAUUAUUCGAAAUUUUCACUGAUGCGUCCUACCAUUUGGGUUCUAUGUUUUACAGUUAGGCCAAAAGUCUUGGUUAUGCGAAGGAAAAAGUCUAAAAGUUGUGGGUUUCGAGACCCAAAUCUGCUUCCAUUCACCGAUUGGAAUUCACUACCAUAUAUACGCAGUACAUGACUCGACACGAAGGGGCUAGCAGUACAUUCAGGCAACAAUCCGUCUCUAAUUAAGUGCUUAUAUAGGUUCAGACACUCCAAAACACUUAACACAAAACACAUCCUUCUCCUUCUCUUCCAAAACCCAAAACACAUCCUUCUCCUUCUCUUCCACUGCCUCUGAUUAUCUCUAAACCCUUAACACAUCCUUCUUAAUAACAGCUCCUCGCCUCAAUCACGCAGCAUGUUCGCUUCACAUCCCUGCAAAAUCCAAACUCAGCUAACCAAAUCAAAAGCAAAUGGUUCCUCCUCCCAGCAUUGGCGACAGAUAGAGAAACAAACAAGCAUACUCUGAUCGUCAAGCCUCCACUUCCUUCCGCGGCAGUAUCUGCUUCCACACACGCACUGGAAUGACGCCUUGGCAUGAUCAAAAUCGAUACCAUAGUCCUGAAAACCCAGCAAAUCACAUCUUGUACAUGUAUGUCGACAAAUCAGCUGGCGUAAUAUUAACAAGACAGACUACACAAAGGCAGCAAGCAUACCCAUGUCAGUUCCUCAAAAGCCUCCACCUUCUUGCUUGUAAAGAACGCAACCUGAUUUUAAAAAUGAGCAUCAGCACUAUUUGUGUAGUAUUUUUCAGUCUGACACAGAAAGGAUAUUAUCAGUAAAUAAAAGUCGUUGAAAGUAGCUUACAUGAUAGUAGUGAUGAUCAGGGGUCUCCACUUCAACAGGAAUCACAACUAGAUUUGCAUCACAGCAUCUACAUGACAGGGAGUAUCACAACCAGAAAAACAAAAAGAGCGGACGAGUUAAGACUCAUCUUUGCUGCUGUCAUUAAAACUCAUCUUUGCUGCUGCCAUUAAAUAAAAGUCAUACAAAUGACUGCCAAGAGCUAGAACAGACCUGUGGUUGAUAAACCUGCCAACAUUUCCAUAAAACGUUGCAUCCAGGCAUAAAGCCUUUUCAUCCUUCAGCAACCCUUCAGAUGAACACCAACCAGCAUCCAAAACUAUUGGAUGCAUGUUUUGAGCGGCCCUUUCAUGUAGUUCUGUAUUUGUUAGUAUCUCCCCAGCAUAUUCACACACAAAAGCUCCUCUUGGCAGUUCGUCGAGUGUGCGGAGCCCCCAACCAGUCCCAUUUUCUGUGAAGAACACCUACAUAGUGCAAGUAACACUAGUUCAGAACCAUCCAGCAUCACUGGAUAAAAUAAAGGAAACAUUCAUCCAUGUUCACAGAAAACAUUAAAUAUUACCUGCAGAUUACAUGAUAUGCCACGUUGAACCACACGGUUACCACAUUGCAUGCUACAACCACAUUUGCUCCAGCAUUCCUUGAUGAAUUUCCUAACAAGGUGGCCCCUGCAAGGCUCUGGUGAAGCUUUAUUUCUAGAACUCUCGAGGGGGCAAGUUUUACAAAACACCAUGUGAUGUUUUUCUGGGAAUCGGCUCACAGAGACACAAUCGUCCAUGAAUGCUGGCCUAACCAAACCUUCUGGUGUAUAUACAUAUUCACCACCCGUUUUUCUUGCACAAGCACAUGGUACAGGUGCGGACAAGCAGUUGCCAAAGCAAUCAGCGCAACAGUCUUCAUCACCAAUUUUUGAAAGAGAUGCGCUAACACGAGCAUUUCGGAAUACAGUGUUUCUUGGCAUGUAAUAAAAGGAAGGUGGACAUUUCUCCUCGCCAAAUUCAUUUACAAUUGAUAUCCUUACUCUUUCUUCUCCCUUGGAUAUAUCGGUCACAUCAUGUAUGGUCCUUAGAGUGGAAAGUGCCAAAUGUCGUUCUUGAGCCAGAGUUGAAUUCACUGGACCAUUACCUGAGUCUUUAGAAACAAAUAAUUCUUCCGCAGCUUUCUGUUUCUGAUUUACACCAUUCUCUGACCUGCUGCCAUUACCAAUACUAUCUGAUUGCAUAUUAUGUUCUACGGUAUCUUCCGUCCCCAAUUGUACAACACACUGGCAUAUCUCCUUCAUGAGGCUGCCAAUGGAUAAAUCAGGAGGGAGAACCUUGUGUGAGAGGAGACAUUUGUUCUCAACCAUCUUGAAAACUGCUUCUAAAGCAGGCAUGCAGAAUUUGGAUGGGUCUAAACUGCAUUUGAGUGACAUCUUGACCUCACCCAUAGCGGAUGAUGCUACAUCAAUGUCCAAACAAGUUGCUGCCUGCAUAUUUCUAACUCUAGAUCCUGUUUCAUUGUUCAUUAUGUUGCUUGUUGGCGCUACAGAUGAAGACAUUUCCCUAUUUCUGCAAUGCUGAGUUGUCCUGUUUUCAGCACCUAUAUGAAGUUAAAAGUUCAAAGGAGUCCAAUCAGAAUAUGAAUAUUGCUCAGAGAAAAUAACAGCAAGAUGUCAUAAGUAUUGCUAAUGUUGCAGCCUGUUAUCUACUAACGUUUUUCUGUGAAGAGAAAAGACCAGAUGAAUAAAAUAGGAAAACUGGACCGAUUAAGAUGCUAUCGAUUAAAGAAUAUUGUUAAGGUUGCAACCUAUUACUUACAUAAUGUAUUUUUUGGGGGCGGAAGACAAAAAGGCCAGAUGAAUAAAAUACGAAAAUGACCAAUCAAUUAAAAGGUUUAUGUUCUAAAUGGCACCAUCCGUCCCAAUUUCAUGCAUGUGGAAAGGCAUAUCACAAACUUAAUUAUGUUAGAACUUUGAAGAGAAGCAAAACAUGUACCAGUAACCCAGGCUACAUUUUAACAAAUCUUCAACGAUUGGACUGCAAAAGAACUAGUGACAAACUGAACAAAAAUAACUGAUUUUUUUAAAGCAUGAUAGCAGGCUGGGAUGGUAGGAAGCGAAAAUCCUUUCUUUUACAACAUAAGCACUAGCUCCCCAACCUGCUUAAUUGGUUAAAACAAUAAAAUGAUCUCCCGGACCAUAGGUAUUUGAAUCGUACAAAAUUGAAAUGUCAUGAUCCAAACAUGGAAGAUGACAAUCUGCUUAACAUAUUGUCUCUUGCACGAGACAAAAGGAUGGAUCAGGUGGAAUUGAGGGCACCACAUUUGUUUUGGGAGAGAGAAAUUGCCACAUAAUCAGAACAUCUAGAAAUUCAUGGAUUAAUCUAGAGGGGAAAGCAAAAGGAAAGCAGAAGAUCUAGAGAAGGCUUUCACAUAUACUAAAGGUUUAAUAAAAGAAAAACCAGAAACUUAGAGAAGGCGUUCACGUGUACUUGAUUUUUAAAGAAGGCCAUCACAUAUCGCGUAUACUAGGGGGGGUGGGGGGGAAGAAAUUUAGAAACAUUCCGAAUUAGCUUUCAUGUAACUUAUACUGUUUCCCUUUUCAGAACUAAUUAAAGAAGUCCAUGGCGUUCUAAAUAAAAGAAAAUGGACACGAUGUUAAAGGCCAUAUUUACCAAUAAAGCACCACGUUAUUGUUAUCUAUUGUUUUUCAAUUCAAUAUCUAUAUAACAAUAAAUCGUUUGGAUCAUAUUCCCAGUUAUCUCGAAAGUAAAGAAACUAUGAACCUCAAACCAGAAAUUCAUAAGAAGGUUUGACAUGAAAAGUAAGGCCUGUCAAGAAAGGGUCACACAUACAACAAACUUCAACUAAAUACAUAUAGAACAUAACAAAACUAGUCAAGCAAAUUACGCUGGUCAGUAAGCUAGUAGUUAAAAUGGCUGAUGAGAACCUGAAAUACGUUUAGAAUUUCGAUCAGGUGGAGGCAAUGCAAGAACCCUUGAGGAGCGUGCGCCGUGUGGAAGGUCAACAAGGCCAAGUUGCGCAUUCUGACAGUUUGAUGCAUCCAUGUCAUCAGGUUCAGGCUUGGGCUCUCUCAAGAAGACAUCAUGCUGCAAAUCUUCCUCCAUCACCUGCCUACGCCUUCUGCCUAGCAGUCGUGGUGAGGCUCUACUUUGUAAAGGGGUAGCGCCUCGAGGUGAGAUAACCAUGGCUCCUCUCCGGGGUGGAGGCGAGGGAAAAUCAUCGGAGUUGCCGCGGCGGUUUGUGGCGAGAUCAGUCAUGAAGUCUGGACUGUCUGGUGUGUCCAUCUCAUCAUCAGAGUCGCUACGGACGGUAGAAUGGCGUUGGUGACGAUCCUCGUCCUGCUCCAGCUCCUGAUCCCCAUCAUCGACUGGGCCGCCGUUCAUCUGAAAAGCCCCCUCCCCCAAAAAAAAUCACUUCAUCAGCAGGGAGAGAGACUGAGAGAGUAUAUAUAAAAGAGGACCCUUUCUGGAGAAGAUUUUGUUGCGGGUUUUUUGGGUAGGGAUUGAGGGCAAAUAAGAAACGGACGGACCUGGGCGUCGAGGACGGCCUCGGCGAGGGCGCGAUAGUUGUCGUCCUCGAUGAGCUCCCAUUUCUUGUCGUAGAGAUUAUGGAGGCGCUUGAGGACGGGGUAGGCCAGCUUCUUGGAGAAGCCGAGGGAAUUCAUGGCGGCCAGGGCCCGCUGCGCCCUCGCCUUGUGGGACAUGGAACCCCGAGAAGAAUUCAUCCUACUGGAGGUCCCUUCCUCCGCCGGCUCUGGCCAAGCUGUGAUUUGGCGGCGAUUCACUCGAUCGCCAUUGCUAGGGUUUCGAAGCUUUGGUGUUCCGGUGGGCUUCCGAGCUUAGCCGAUUCGAGUUUGAGUCAGUGUGGAAGGCGAGAGGGCUCCCAAUAAAAGCGUCUGUCUAGCUUCCCAAUGCACGCUAUUUUAACGAAAUCUACCCUAUACAUUUACUGAAUAUUUAUAUACAAUUUCACAACCCCUCAAAAAAAAUACAAUUUCACAAAUGGUUUGUUUCCUGUAGUUGUUUUAUCUAAAUAAACUCAUAAUAUCGUGUGUUUGGAAAGAGAAUUAAUAGUUAUGCAUGCUUAUAAUUAAUAUGGACCAUUAACUGUUUCAGUAGUUGAAACGCCAACAAGAUUAUUUUCUUGCGAUUGUUCUUUUAAGCCUUCUUUUAAUGACGCGUUGAGGUAGUAAUCUGGUUACCGAUCUGAGAGAUCGGCCCAAUAAACCAAACGGAGGGAGUACAGGUGCUCAUUCGGUUUGUACGAUUUCUGGAACAUUUUACAGGAUUCUGGACCUUAUUAAUUUUUCUGUGGAUUAAGAAUGAGUAUAAGUGCUCAUUCGGUGUGUAUUAUUCGCUUAAAAGAAUAGAGAUGCUCGGUUCCUAAUGAAUAUGUCCAAAUUGAUUGGUAGACCUCAUGGAGAAUUCAUGUGGAUUGUAGUGUGCAUGACAUUUCAAUCAUCUACUUUUCUUAUGCCUAUAAUUUUAUAAUUGUGUAAAACGAACGAGUCUCAAGUCAUACGGUACCUAAAUUAAGAUAAGAUAUCUCACUAUUUCUUCAUUUAAUAGGGUCCUACAUGAGCAUUAAGAAUGCCUUAGAGGUUUGUACUCCUUUGUCCCACCUUUGAGCUUGUACGUCCCUUUGGUCCUAGGCCUCUCCCAAUGCAAAUAUCUUUGGCACGUUAUCCUACGACUCCCCAAUGCAAGAUACCACUAAUGCACGUGGAAAUAGACGAAGACAUUAAUUACUCCAAUCAAAUUCAAGCAUUCCUCCUAAAUUGAUUAAUACAAUAACUCGAAUAAUACACCUAGAUCCCGUACCUUGGUGCUUGCUGGAGGAGACUUGCUCCUCAAGCUACUUACGUUGAUACGAUAACAAAUUCAAGUAUUCCUCCAAAUUUAAUUAUUCACCGCUGUCUCUUUUCGUGUUUAAUGUAAGUAGCUUGAUGAAACUGACAUGAGAACAAAGAUGUACAGGAUGGUAUCACAAACCAUUACAAAGGGGCAAACCGUGUCUCCCACCGGAAGAAAGAUGAGCUGAACAUCUUAGGCCCUGUUUGUUUGAACUUCUACUUCAGUUUUUGGUACUUCUAGCUCUCUAAAAAGCACUUCUCCCGUUUACACAUGGAAGCACCUCCGGACGUGCUUCUCAGCUUCAUGUGUAAACGACAGAAGUGUUUUUUAGAAGACUAGAAGCAGCUGAAGCUGAAGCAAAAGCCCAAACAAACAGGGACUUAACAGGUUAGGACCUGCUUGUAAUUCACUAAGCUCAAGCUUCUCAUCAUCAACUAAAGUUGCCUGUUCAGUUUGUAGUUCUGAGGAUUCUGAUUCAUCAACUGAAACAUGGCACUCCACCGUGUCGGGGAAGUUGCCUUAUAAAAGUGUGCGAUAGUGUCACCAUAGACAAAUGCUAUUUGGUAAUCAUCUUUAGGAGUAAGUUGUUUGAUGUGUAAUAAUUUCCUGUUUGGCUCCAGAGAAUAGAGUUCGAUUCAAUUAAUGGGAUUAAGUCAAUAAACCUAAAAUUUCAUUCAUGUCAAUUCCAACUUGGAAUUCUUUUCUUUGGGUGUCACUUGGCUCUAUUUUGUAAACAAGAGCACAAUUGCACAUGUGAUUUUUUAGCAAAAUGCCGCAUCUACUAGUGAUAUGGUGUCAUCCAAAAAAGGAUGCACAGUGGGAAUGAAACAAAAAUCCGCAUUCAAGGGCCUGAUCAGUCAAUGUUUGCCGUGCCAACAAAAUUAUGUUAGUUGUUCAUAAGCGUGAACCUUGUCAUGCACCUGUGAUCCUAGGACUGGAGAAGAGAUUUGAGGAGGAAGUCAUGAAGAAGAGGUUCGAGGAGUGGAUGGCCAAGUAUCAUCACACUUACAAGGAAGAAGAGGAGAAGGCGCAACGCUACCAGCUAUUCCAGGACUCUGCCAAUAUAGUUGACAAGCUCAACUUUUUGGCAGGUGGAGUGACUACCUACCAAACAAACCACGUAUGCGACCUUAUUGUGGAAGAGAAGCAGCUAUAUUAUGGGGAAUUAGCGCCUCGACCACCGUAAUCCAGACUAGGAGAGGUGCUAAAAGAAUAUACGUGUAUUUAUCUGGCCCAGUAGCGGGUAGUGAUAGCCUCAAUAUACUACGCGCAUGCAAGCCAUGUUGAGUUGGAGUUAGAUGUUCUUGUCAUGUUUUUGGGCUCUAAUUGUCAUGUCGUGUUCUCUAGUUACCAUAUUGUUUUGUACGGUUACACGGGACCAAGUAGGUGUGGUUAAACCAACAAGCAUAUGGGCAUCCGACAAGUAGUUAGGUUAAUCUAGUAAGUAGACAUGGUUAAAUCGGCGAGUAGGUACAAUUAACCUACCGACGAGUAUGUAUGGUUAAAACAAGUAUAAAUCGACAAAAAGGUACAGCUACUCUGGCAAAUAGACACGGUUAAAUCCGCAAGUAGGCAUGAAUAAACCGGCGAGCAGGCACAGAUAACCUGACAAGUAGAACCAGUAAAACUAGCAAAUAGGUGUGGAUAAGCCGAUAAGUAAGCGUAGAAUAAACAGACGAGUAGAAGUAGGUGUUGACAUCACCAAAUAGGCACAAUUAAACAUACAAGUAGGCUUAGAUAAUUUCGUAAAUAGGCAUGUUUAAGCGGUUAAGUACUCCUAGACAAACCGACAAGUAAACAAAGUAAGUAUGGCUUCACAAUAGGAGGGGAAUACCGCGCGGACGUACGCGCUCUAGUCUGCUCGCGCGACGCAGUUCGCGCUGUAGCUCCAGCGUGCGACGCUAACUGCCGACAAUUAACCGCAUGCAAAUCAGCAAACGAGCGACUGCACUGGCCACGCCUUUAAUGGCAUGCAUCGCAUCAUCGCAUCACGUAGCCAUGCAUUGUGCUACCAUAGUUUGCACUCCAUUAAUUCAUGCACGUACUCAUAUACAAAUACAACAUUUAUAUUAUCUUGAAGUGAGAGAAGAGGACGUUCAAUUAAUCAAUAAUUCUAAUUCUUUUAUGGGUUUUGGACUAGAGCACGACGGUCGCGCAACGGCGUGCGGCGCACGGCAGCGGGGAAGGCGUGUGGCGGCUGGGACGGCGCACGAUGGCGGUUCGUCGCGGGGCAGCAGUGGCGGCGGCUCUGCGCGCAGAAGCAGGCUCAGCACAGGCCCCGUGCGCGACGCCCGGCGGUGAUAAAAGAGUAGAAAAGUUAAAAAAACUCAUGUUUAUGACAUGUAAAACUAAAUAUUUUUGGCAACCCGCUGUUGAAUACAAAUGCCACCUCUAAUGAACACAAAAUAACCGUGUCAAUCCAUUUUCGGUCAAAAUCUACCAACUACUACUACAUGAUGCAUCUCCGGCACUUCAAAUCAAGCUACCGUUUCCAUUUUGAACGGACCUCACACACGCCUUAUCUCCUUUUGCUUCUAGUUAAAUAAUUGCCGCCUCUAAUGAGUACAAAUUGACACCCCUGCUUAAUACAAGUAGCCACCUCUAAUGAACAGCUUAAUACAAAUUGCACCCUAAUUAACACAAAUUGCCACCCACAGUUAAUACAAAGGUAACAUAGAUGGAAAUAGGGAGCGAACGUUCGUCUCUAACCUUCUGGUGCGAUAGGUCAAGUUGGCAGCUUCGCAGAACUAAAGUUGCCACUGUCACAGACUAAAGUUGCCGGCCUCACAGAACUAAAGUUGCCAUCUCACAGAAAUAAAUGUUCGCUCCUAGUCUUCUAGCGUGACGGGACAAAGUUGCAUCCGUAUAUAACUAAAGUUGCCACCUUAACGGGCUAAAGCUGCCACUCUACAUAACUAAAAGUUGUCAUCCACGAACCUAAAGUUCCCAACCCACAAAAACACGUGACACGAUCCUAGCAAUAAUCUUUCCAAUCGAAUGGCCAAUAGAGCGUUCGCUCUGAGAGACUAAGAGCGAAUGUUCACUCAUCAUAAAUCCUGUAAUACAAAUUGCCACCCUUAAUUGCCAACCCCGUUUUAAAACAAAUGAGAAAAAUUGUCACUCAUAAUGAGCAUAAAUUAUCACCCACUAAUGAAUACAAAUUGCCACCCAGUAAUGAACACAAAUUACCUCUCCACGGGUGAACAUAAAUUGCUUCCGUAAUGAACACAAAAUUGACAUCCUUAAUGAACAUAAAUUGCCAACCCCGCUUUAAACAAAUUGGCACUCAUAUUAAACACAAAUUAUCACCCACUAGUGAAUACAAAUUGCCACCCCUUAAUGAACACAAAUUGCCCCCCGCCCCCACACACCCAAACGAACACAAACCGCCAUCCCCGGUGAUCCGCAAAUUCCAACCCCUGGUGAUCACAAAUAGCCAUGUGUAGUGAACACAAAUUACCAUGUACAUCAAUUUCGGUCAAAAUCUACCAUGCACCACCGCAUCUUCUUCACUCCAAUCAAGCUAUCACCUCCAUUCAAAACGAUCACACGCAAAUCAUAUUUUCAUGUUGCCUCUAAUGAACACAAAUUGCAAAACCUACUGAAUAUAAAUUGCCACUCGUACCAAACAAAAAUAACCACGUCCAUUAAUUUAGUUACAUUGAAUUGCCACUUGUAAAAUAAGUGAAAAUCGCCAUCCCUAAUGCACAUGAAUUGACAUUAUCCGCUGUAGCCCGGACGCAUCACCCACAGGAAGGGCCAACCUGUGUGCCAUCUCGGCCACCACCUCCGCCGACAACACCACCAAGCUACCCCGUGAGGCAUACAUGAUGGAACGCGGCGAGCGCACGCCAGCCACCUGCGCGCAGUCCUCCGCCACCCUGAUCAUGUCGAUGUGAGCGGUCGACACAGCCUCCUCCUCCUCGAGCUCGACGAGAGGACCCACGGGGAUGAGCGGCGGCGGCGCGGGAUCACGUCCGGGAGUGCGUCCACCGUAGCCCGCUCCAGUUGGUAGAGUAGUUGACGGAGAUUUGGAUCGCAGCAGCAGCAACAUUGACCGCAGGGGGGCAACGUGCGGCGGCUUGGGCAGCACGCAGCGGGGCACUCGCUGGUGGGUAGCAGCGCAAGGGCAGCAGCGCGUGGUGGGGCGCUAGGGCGUGCGCGGCCACUGAGAGGACGCUUGGAGGCGGCGGGGACGGAGCUCGGGGGCGAGGGGCAGCGCAUGGUGGCAGCGCGAGACAGGGGAGCUCGGCGGCAGCAGUCACGGACGGCAGGCGCAGCGCGCGGCGGGGGUGGGGGCAUCGCGCAGGGCAGCAUGAGGCGGCGUCUGGGGCGGAAGCGGAGCCAGCGUCAGGGGCGCUUGGGACCGUGCCCGCGCGAGGCGGCGGCGGGGCCAGUGCUCGGCAGCGUCGAGGACCGUGCUCGGCGGCGUCGAGGACCGUGCUCGGCGGCGGCGGGCGUGUCGGUGGCAGGGGCACCGUGCGUCAGCGGGAUUGGAAGCACCAGGCAGCGUUCGGGGCAGCGGGGGCAUCAUCUCCCGGCAGCGGGAUUGGCAGCACGAGGCAGCAGCGGGAGAACAUCGCGAGGCAGCGGCGGUGCGAGGCGUCACGCGAGGAGAUCGAGAGGCUACCGGCGCGUCGCGCUUGAAGGCUCCAGGGAGAAUGUACACUCUAUAUAAUUUCCGUUCACAAUAUACGUGAAAGUGAUGUUUCUUUUUACCAAUAUACUGCUGUGUAUCGAUGAAUUUGUACGUACUAGUAGAUGGACCAUCCGAUGCAUGAUAGGCGGCUGUGAGGAGCGGACGACUUGUAUACCACGAAAAAAGGAACCCGGGGCCGCCGGCGAAACAGAGAUCUCAUCGGAGAGAUCUGAGAGCGGAGGCGACGAGCGGUACCAUGGCGCCGUCCCUCCAUUCCCUGCCCACCACCGUGUUCCUCCUCAUCCUCGCCGUGGCCGUCGCCUCUGCCGCCGCCGCCGCCUCGCCCUCCUCGCCGCCGGGGGAGGACGGGAUCCGAGUCGUCGCCGCCGAGAAAAGGGUAUUGUUCGUUUCCUAUCCCCACCCCACCCGCUGGAUUUUGGUUAGUUCGUCGUGAAGUGAAGCAUCUGUGUCACUUGCUGGUACCCAAAUCAGGAUCCUGGUCCCAUAUCUGUUUUCCCCCACCUCUCUGUGAUCCAGUUCCUGUACUGUGCUAAUCUUUGAUAAUUAGUCAAAUUUUAUAGAUAGCUAACCACGUUUGCCGCGUGGUCUGUACUGUGCUAAUCAAUUGAAGUGUUUAAGAUAUCGUAGUGUAGUAACCAAUAGAAGGGUACUAAUCAGCAGCUUAAUCCCUGUUGGAUUAGUAAGGUUUUACUGAUUUAGGGUUUAAGAUAUUCAAUUCUUCUAUGGCAAAUCAAUUCACCACAACUGCAAUUACCUGCAGAUCGACCUGACCGGUCCCAUUGUGAAAGUAUUCCUCACAUUGAAGGUAAAUCUUCCACAUCAUUUCACUCGAUUAUUGCACUGCCAGCGAGUGCUUGCGCAUUUCUAAGCUAUCACAAUUCAACCUCUGCCAGGUCCAGAAUGCAGCCUCUGCCUCUGAAGCAUCCUAUGUUCUUCUCGCGUUCACGCCCACAGAGGUCCAGCAUCUCGCCAUUGUCAAGGCCACCAGAGCUGAGGGGAAGCGCAAGAAGAAGACAUACGUGCCCCUCCCCGUAGAACCCUCUCAUCUUGCCGAUGCUCCAAAUGGCGCUAGCCUCUAUGCAAUUUUGCUGAGCACUCCGUUGAAACCUGCUGAGACGACCACCCUGGAACUUUUUUACGUGCUGACACACUCUCUGGAGCCCUUCCCGGCAGAGAUCACCCAGUCGGAGUCCCAGCUGGUUUACUACCGUGACAGCGCGGUCAUUCUCUCACCGUACCAUGUUCUAGAGCAGGCCACCUACAUAAAAAUGCCAAGCAAUAGGGUGGAGUCCUUCACCAGAGUCGACCCUACCAGUCGGUCGGGUCCUGAGGUGAAAUACGGCACAUACAGUAACCAGCUUCCAAACUCAUACUUGCCGAUACUUGUGCAUUUUGAGAACAACCAUCCAUUUGCUGUUGUUGAGGAACUUGUUCGUAAGGUUGAGAUUUCUCACUGGGGGAAUGUCCAGAUCACUGAACAGUAUAAAUUGAGACAUGGCGGAGCUCGGCACAAAGGAGUCUUUUCAAGGUUAGCUGCAACUGUCUUACACCUUGAUCUAGCAUAUCUGGUUCUAAAAUGGUCUUGGCAUCCAAGAAAUGAAACUAUGCUUUUUUAAUUGCAUGCCACUGUCUAUUGUGUCCAUAAGUAACAUUAUGCACAAUUGCUGAAGCCCUGAAUCAAAUGGCUCUAGCGACCUGUGAUGCAUUACUUGAACCCUUAAUUCAAAGAGGCAACUGGAAUACAUCGAGUUUUUCUGUGGUCAAUAAUCAAUUACAAAUUAUCUCCCUGGUUAUUUGUCAAGUUCUUCCAAAAGAAUAAGUCUCGUAGAGGUGAAAUAAAGAAUUUAAAACUAUAAAGCCCACUAUUGCUUCUGGCUAUGUGAUGCAUGUCAUGUUGGUAUAGGAAAAUUUAUGAAAAUAACGACAUGCCUUGCGGACUUGAAAUCAAGAUAUUCUGCUUCCAAACUGUAUGGAGCAUUAACUGUUAAACUAUAUACACUGUUUACGUAAUUAUGUUAUCAUUUUUUUUUAUGUAAUCUUGACUCAGUCUUACAGCAGUUAGCACUCAUGUCUCCACUACUGAUGUCUGUGUGCAUGUAUUCAGUUCAGCAGUUAAGUGCUGUUCAUUCUGAAACAAAUGAAUUGAGUGUUCUGUAUCUACUCUGUUAUUCUGUUUCACUUUCUAGCAUUAACAAAUCAAUCAAUAUGUAUCUCAUGUCGGUCUACUUGGUCCAGUGCUUCAUAUACUCACGUAAAACUUCUGUUGCUAGGCUUGAGUACCAGUCUAGGCAAUCUAUCAGUGGUGCAUCAUCAUUUAAGAAUCUUCUUGCACGAUUGCCUCCUCGAGUUCAUUCAGUUUACUAUCGUGAUGAGAUUGGUAACAUCUCCUCGUCCCAUCUGCGUAGUGAUUCAUACAAGGUACAUGAUAUUUCUCCAUGCUGCACCACCUUUAAUAAAUUGUUAUGCUGGUUAGUAGCAUAUAAAGCUACUUUUUUUUUACUUCACUGUACAAAUUAAACUAAUAUUACCACACAUUUUUGUUUUUAUAAUUUCAGUCAGAACUAGAAUUUGAGCCCAGAUAUCCGCUAUUUGGUGGUUGGCACUGCACAUUCACCAUUGGCUAUGGUAUGCCGUUGCAAGAUUUCCUGUUUCAAGCAGAUGAUGGCCGACGCUACGCUAACCUUACUUUUGGAUGCCCUCUAUUGGAUACUGUGGUUGAUGAUCUUACUAUCAAGGUAAGUCUGAACAAGGUUCAACUUUUCUGAUGAAACUGCUUUCUUAUCUAAUGGUAAAUGUAGCUUAAAAUUAAGAAAUACUCCGUACAAUUUAUAUCAUGUAGCUGUGGCUCAUGUCCCUCUCUGCUGUUUGAAUGUACAGAAUAUGCUCAUGUUCGAGCCUGUACAGUCAGCAUACUAUUUAAUACUAUUUGUUUCUGAGUUGACUAUCUCAGCUCUUCUACAACUACUCAAUAUCCACGAUUACUUCAAAAGGGAUAGUUUUUUUUUCUCUCAAAAGCAACAACAAAAGAAAAGGGUCAAAGCCUGAAGGCAAAACAGGACAAGACAACUGCUCUAACCUAUAUAACAAACAAAAAAAUACGGAAAACGAAACAAAACAGACUGAGCAGCGAUUCUGGAGGGCACGCAUUGACGCAUGAAUAAAAAGGUGUUCCUCAUUGUUAAACCUUUUAUUUUACAGGUCGUGCUUCCUGAGGGAUCGAAAAGUCCAGAAGCUGUAGUUCCUUUCCUGACCGAGCAACAUCUUGAGGUAAUCCCAUCUUUCUGUCAAUGUCCACUAUUCAAAAGGAAACUGGCUCAUACUUGCCUAAAGAAAUAUGACUUGAAGCAUCUAUGUGCUCGUUGGCAUAUGCUGCUAUAUUGUUGAGUGUUACAUUUUCCCAUUUGAUCUCACUUGAAAGCAUCGAACCUCAGUUAUGAUUCUAAUAUACUAUGACACCGAUGCAGACUAGUUAUUCAUACCUCGACGUUGUUGGAAGGACGACAGUGGUGAUAAAGAAGAAGAAUGUCGUAGGAGAGCACAAUGUUCCUUUCCAGGUACACAUGAUCAACAGAUGGGCCUUGUUUUCUAGGCUUCGUUCCCCAUAUCUGACGUUUAAAUUAAAUCUGUGAACUGCAGGUGUACUACGAAUUCAAUCCAAUGUUCAUGCUGGCGGAACCGUUGAUGCUGAUAUCGGCACUGCUGUUCCUGUUUGUUACUUGCAUUGCCUAUCUCCACAUGGAUCUUUCAAUCGGGAAAUCACAGGCCUCUUGAAGUAGCAUACUUUUUGUAGACGAACGCUUGUGCUGCUAACUGUGCUAUCAGCAAUGGAUCGAUGCCUGGUGUAUUAGUUAUUGAGAGUUUUGUAGAACAUACAUGGUGUUGCUCUAGAAAUGAGCUUGUGGUCGAUAGUAUGACUUAAUAAAUAGUAUAGUAGUUUUUUUUUCUGUGGGAUUCAGCUAUUGAGCCCAAAACUGUUUUCAUUUUUACCAAGUGAAGUUGUCAUCUGACCUCAAUCUCAUAGAUUUGGCUUUGGCAUCUUCGUAAAGAAGUAUUGGUGAUGUGUGUGUUUUCGUGAAAGAAUCCAGUUGGUGCAGAAAGCAUAAAAGGAAAUUGAAUUUGAAAACGGCAAUAUUGUUGAGAGUUACCACGUGAAGUUGUUAUCUGACAUCAGUCGCAUAGAUGGCCUUGGCACUUUCAUAUAGAAGCACUAAUGCGGUGUGGGAUUUCGUGAAAGAAUUCUAGUAAUGUACUAGAAAGCAAAAAAAAAAAAAAUUGCAACGGAAAAUGGUACAAAUAUUGUUGACAGUGGGAUUUGAACCCACGCCCUUUCGGACCAGAACCUUAAUCUGGCGCCUUAGACCAACUCGGCCAUAUCAACUUUUGUUGCUACAAGCGAUCACAGAAUUUACUUAAUAGUGAGACCAUGAGUAUUUUCUUUUUUGGACUGAUCUAUACAGCGCAAGUGCCCAUAGGGCAGAGACAUAUUAUUGAUGCAAAACUAUCCGAUUUCCACUUAACUUCCUUGUUUGAAAAUUUCAAAACAUUUUUUUCCUAAAUUAUACAUCCGUUUUCACCGUUAGCUUAGUCGUGCCAAAAUCUACAAAAUUAGAUUCCAUGUUGAUAUGUUUUGACAAUUUUUUUCAUCAAAGCUUGCUUCACCAGGGCUUGCCUAAGAAACACAAGGCUGGCAGGCUGGCUACAGGACACACUCCACUUGAUCACCAUUCCUAGGUUUGCCAAAAACACAACACAUAUAAAUCGGGCUCGGCAAUCGUGUCCAUCUGAAUUUUUCUCUCUCAAAAUAGCGAAAAUACAAGAGAGCUCGGUUAUAUAAGGCCCCCAAGUCCCCAACACAAGCUGAGUCUCGACCACGUCACAUCACUAUUUACUCCUCUUCUCCAAUCUCCACUGGCCCAUUGUUCCUGAAGAUCAAGCUCAACCCUCAAGCUCGAGCUACCGGUGUCUGUCUGCGAGAGGAUCCCUAGCUAAUGCCAAUUGAGUUUUUUUUCACUUCAAAUUUGAAGAGCUGCUGGUGGGAUCGGAUUUAUUUAUUAUAAGAUGGUGAAAGGCUGUACUGACUGUAAAACAACAAUGAUAAAAAUAUUACAGUAUUGCUGUUUGUCUGGAUCACAAACCUAUUAUUCCUGUCUGGAUCACAAAAUCCGAAUUCUUUGUCUUUGUUUUUUUGUCAGGUAGAAGCGAGACGCCCAAUAUCUGUCACAAGCUAACUCAUGAAAGAACUCAAAUUCGAAUUGCAUUGCCACCGUUGCUGUUAAGAAAGAACAGCAUUGCUACUGAAUGUAUGCAAUCGAAAGAACAGCAUUCCUACUGAAUGUAUGCAAUCUCAGCUCGUUAAAAGAACAAAGAAUUUUAUCUGAUACAAAAUGAAACAUCAUGGCAUAAGCAGAUAAUUUAAUGGGACGCAUGACUAAACGAUACUGAAAAUAUGUGUGCACACACAACAUGUAAGCACGGCCAGCGUGCACAAAGCAAAAUAACUUCAAGAUUAACUGACAUACAUGCACAAAGCAACCCAAAGCAAAGUUAAUUUGUCUUCAUGCCAGUUGGAAUACGGUAUUACAUAAACCAGAUAGUAAAAGGAAGUUCACACAACUUAGAAGAUACAUUCCCAGUUCACAACUGACCACACGACAUGUUUAGUUGCUGCAAGCACACAUCAGCAUUGUCUCAUGCACAGCAUACAGGAUGGAAGAAGCUUGAACAAACAGGCCAUUUCGGCAUCAUCACAGCCACCGGAAUGUAAUUCAAGAUACCUGCAGAGAAUAAAUGUCAUUAGACAAACCGGAAGAGAAGAUUACUUUUGCAUAUGGCAAAUUUGCAGAGGAUAAUCUUACCUACUCAACCAGUACAUCACAUUGCAAUAGCAUAUCUAACAGGACAAGCAUCUUAUGUAUUGUGCAAAAGUUCAGCUCCAUCUUGUUCGCCAACAAUGCCUAUUUCUGUAUAAGACAUCAAACAACCAAUGGAAUUACAAGAGAAGGCCAAAUAGAUAGAAGGAUGCACCGGUGAGAUAUAUCGAAAAACUCACAGCUGUAAUUUGAGGAAAAAAAACUAUUUAUGUACAACUCUAGGAAUAGAUAAACAAAUCCGCACCUAAUGUCAAAUUAAAAUAAUAUUCUGAAACUCAUUAAUAUGGUUUAAAAGAGAAAACAUGCAUGCUCACUCUAUUAAAUGAUAUGAUGGGACAAGAUAAAAUAUACUUGUGCUAAAAAUCAUAGCGACAAAAGUGAUCAUGAAUAAACAGAUUUUCACCAUCUUUAAAUAAAUUUAGCCUGCAAAGGUGGAAUGAACUCCAUUUAUUAAAAAAAUCCCAUAGAAAUGAACUUGCCACUCGCAGCAGGACUCUCCUACAAUUCAUAACUGAACACUAAUAAUUCCAUAAAAUUUAAAACAAGUCCCUGUUAUGGAUUUAUAUUAUUAGCAAGAUCAGGAUUCAGCAGAAUAACUAGCAUCAAGCCCUGCUCUAAUUAGAGGAACCGAGAUACAGCGAUGGCAGCCCAUUCCCUAGCUACAGAAGCAGAACUGGUGAGAUAAACUAAAGUUAGCAUAAAAUUAGCAUAAAACACCACCACACAAAAUUAGCAUAAAACACCACCACACAAAAUUAGCAUAAAACACCACCACACAAGCAUCAGAAAAUACAGAGCACAACAACUUCACAAUGUUGGAGAAAUCUGAUGGGUUUGUUGCAUGGAAAACAAAAAAUUUCCUACGAGAAGUGCGUAAGAAAGCCCAAGAUCAUAUCUACUAGAUGUAAGUAAUGAGAGGGAUUAUGAGCAUCAUACCCUCGUAGACCACAAAGCGUUACAAUUACGGGAUCGUUGUUGGCGUAGUGGAACUUUCGAUGAGAUCAAUCUCGGUGCAGAACCGACGGCACCUCCUUAGUAUCCACACGAUCAGCUUCACGUCGUCUCCUCCUUCUUGAUCCAGCAAGCGAGGGGAAGAGGUCGAUGAGAUUCCAGCAGCACGACGGCGUGGUGGUGGCUAUGGUGGAGAGCUCCGCGGGCAGGGCUUCGCUGCGCGCUAGAGAGGAGGAGGAGAGGGGCUCAGGGGAGAGAGAUGCAGCUGAGGGCUUGGUGUGUCCUCUCCCCCUGCCCCUCCCCUCUAUUUAUAUAGGGGGUGGUGGCCAGGGUUAGCCCCUCCUCCAAGGAGAGUCUAGGGCCGGCCAGGGGAGGGAAAGGAGUUCCGGGACUCCUUCCCACGUGUGGUCUCCCCACGUACGUGGUUUCCACCUCGUGGUGGAGUCCCCACGGUAGGCCCAUUAGGGGAUAAUUAAUUAGAUUGCUCCAAUUAAUUCAUAUAGAGGCCCAAUUAAAUUCUCAAGAAUAUUCCGGAACAUUUCAGAACCUUCUGAGAACUUGCGGAAACUUCUAGAAUAUUCCUGGUCAAUACCGGAAAAUAUCCCGAACUUUUCCGAAACCCUGAAACAGCUUUUUUCAUAUAUAAAUCUUUAUCUCCAGACCAUUCCGAAGCUCCUCGUGAUGUCUUGGAUCCCAUCCGAGACUCCGAACCAAUAUUCGAUAUCACCAUCUAUUUAUCUCAUCGAACCCUAGCGACAUAAAACGUUAAGUGUGUGACCCUACCGGUUCGAGAACAUGUGGACAUGACCGAGACACCUCUCCGAUCAAUAACCAAUAGCGGGACCUGGAUGUCCAUAAUGGUUCCCACAUAUUCCACGAAGAUCUCAUCGGUUGAACCACGAUGUCGAUGAUUCAAUUAAUCCGGUAUCCAAUUCCCUUUGUCUCGCGAUAUAUUACUUGCCCGAGAUUUGAUCGUCGGUAUCACCAUACCUAGUUCAAUCUUGUUACCGGCAAGUUCUCUUUACUCGUACCGCAAUAUAAUAUCCCCAUGACUAAACACAUUAGUCACAUGCUUGCAAGCUCAUUAGAUGUUAUAUUACCGAGAGGGCCCAGAGAUAUCUCUCUGUCACAUGGAGUGACAAAUCCCAGUCUUGAUCCAUACAACCCAACAAGCAACUUCCGAGAUACCUGAAGAACACCUUUAUGAUCACCCAGUUACGAGAUGACGGUUGAUGUCCACAAAGUAUUCUCCCGGUACUAGGGAGUGGCAUGAUCUCAUGGUCUAAAAAAAUGAUACUUGACAUAAUAAAAGCAUUAGCAAUUUAAACUUAAGUGACACGAUCAAAAGCUAUGCUUAGGUUUGGGUCUGUCCAUCACAUCAUUCUCCUAAUGAUAUGACCUAGUUAUUAAAUGACAACACAUGUCUAUGGUUAGGAAACCUUAACCAUCUUUUAAUCAACGAGCUAAUCUAGUAGAGGCGUAUUAGGGACACGGUAUUUGUUUAUUUAUCCACACAUGUAUUUAGUUUCCUGUUAAUACAAUUAUAGCAUGGAUAAUAAACAUUUAUCAAGAACAAGGAAAUAUGAUAAUAACAUAUUUAUUAUUGCCUCUAGGGCAUAUUUCCAACAAAAUCAGCAAGCAUCAAAAGAACUAAUUCAUACAACACUGCUUUAAAAAUUUAGGCUGCUUAACACAAGAAGAUAUGAAUAGCAUUUAGUCAACCAAUUAUCGAAAAAUAACUUGUUUGUGAUAUAACCAAAGUGUAAGGGCAUGCUAUUACCUGGAGUGUAGACACUUUCAUAUGGAUAAUAGGAAGGCAAGAUGUCGGUUUCGAAGAUUUUCUUAAACUCCAAUGACUCAAGCUGGAGCAUGAAGACACCGACAAUUGUCCACAGGAACACCACAUUAUUUUGACUUGCGUAUCCUACAAUAUGUGGGCACCCUGUCCUCUCAAUUUCCAGGGAAAGUAGCUUGUCCAGUUCAAUAGUUCUUCCUAGCUCCCAUGGAGCAACACCAUGACAAUUGGUCUUUCUCUUCCAUAAUUGGGCGCUGAAGGUCGACAGAAAGAGGAAACCAAGACCACCACCCUCUGCCCGCAUAACACACAUGUGGCAAUUCGUUAAGCCAUACUGGACCACUGGCACAGGGAUCACAUUUAGACUUUGCCUAUCCAAAUCAAGCUCAAGGAUCCUUGAUGAAGUUAAUGUCCCAUGAAGCACUCUAGUAACCAACCAGUAAAGAGAAUCCCCAACUAGUACACCGACAAUGGACUUGCCCGUGAAACACAUGGCAGGAGUACUCAAUAAGGUGGCAGGAGUCCUCAAUAAGGUGGCCAUAAUCUGAAUGCCGGCCGUAGGUGUAUGAACAACCUCGGAUAGGAGCUGUGUCGAGAUGAGAUUACCCCAUACGCCGGUCUCCGACGAGUAAACGCAGGAGAGUGCUCGUGCUUGUGCAUGUUGCCCCUGGACAGUUUGUCGUAUCACUGCCAAGGCCACCAGGAAGUGGCGGCCGUCUCCGACAGCGCGAAGCACCGCCCCAGUGAUCGCAGUCUUCAUGUCAUAGAAGCCCGGGAGGAUGGCUAUGUGGUGCCGGUCACCGAUGACGGGGUCCCACACCAGGACCUCGAGCCGCCUCGCGGAGAAGAGGAGGACGAGACCAUGGCAGCAUCCAAGGCACCGGAGGGGGUCCCUUUGGUCGAACUCCAAGGAGAAGCGCCCAGCGGGGAUGCGAUUGGGGGGGUCAAGAGUGGACACGAAGGAUAUACCUCGCGGGCUGAAGUGCUCGACUAUGAAACCGAGGAGAGGGGGAGAUUUGUGAUGGUGGUGGAAGCGGAAGCGACGGGAGAAGCCUGGGUCGUAGACAAGGCAGCGCCAACGCUUGCAAACGAGGGAGGCGCGUGGGAGGGAGGACGGCUGCAUGGGGAGGCAGAGGAGGAUCUCCCUGAGUAGAUCAUCAUCGUCCAGUGGACCCUCUGCCACCGCUGCCGGCGAAGAGCGACGGCGGCGGCGAGGGCUGCCUGAUGUGGCCGGUGGAGUUGAGUCCGAAGUGGAAGCACGGCUGAGAGGUUGAAAACCUGCGAUGGAAAUGGAGAACCGAAUUAAAUUUUUUACUCUGAAUUAUUCUCUUCGUCUCAUAUUAAGUGACUCAGAUUUGUCUAAAUCUUGACGUAUAUAUGUGUUAAAUACGUCUAGAUACAUGUAAUAUUUUGGCACUUAAUAUGGGCCGGAGAGAGUACUUUUUUUAAUCGGAUCAUAAUUACUUUGAGUGAUGAAUUUGGACUGGUCAAAUUCUCAUGGGUAUUUCGCAAGAUUUUAAAUCGCGCUUGAAACCAUUUCGCGGAGUCUUUCGAAAACCAAUAAAUCCUAUAAAGCGCUAGAUUGCGGACCUUUAAGGCAUUUUGCGUUUCGAAUAUGAAAUGACAUCUAUGCCUUGUUCAAUAGGGAAAUUCAACAUAAUUUUGACACAAACCAUUAGAGAAUAAUAUCAUAUAACCAUAAUAAGUUGAGGACCAAGACAUUUAACAAGUUCACAUGAAAAUUAACCAUGACAAUUGCAGCCUAUAGUGCAUGAGCGGCAUAUAAUUAACAAGUUCAGAAUUCAGAUUAAGAAACAAACCAUGACACAAUCCUUGACACUUGAAAACAAGUUCAAAACAAAGUUCUUAACAACAAAAGGUAAUACCGAAAUAAAAUAAUAAAGGUCAAAUGUUUCAGAAACAACUGGAGAAGGCAUAUCAAUGUCAUCUGCAGAUUCUGAAGACGAUCACUCAUCCUGCAGUUCUUGGUCACGAGAUUUUUUUUCAUAAUUUACCUUGGGUUUUGAUUCCGUUCCAGUGGAAGCCCAUAGCGUUAUUGUGGACGAAAUUGCGGAGUCAAUUUCACACGAAAGAGCGUUCUUAUCACGGAAUUGUGGGCGUUGCGGCAAAAUUCAUCAUCGCGUUGCGGUAGCUCACCUAAACCUUGAUAGCGCCGCAAAAGCGCUUGAAUAGCGCUAGAUUUAAAAUCUACUCGUCAAAAAAAAUCUCAUGGGUACUGGGUAAAAUCACUAGAUCCACGCGAAUGAAAAUACUAAAAAUCGUCAACGAAAGCAAGGUUGUCAGGUUAUUUUGUGUCUGUGGAGAGAGGGCGGGGUGGUUUGCAACUUGUGAGGGGAGAAGUGGAGGAGGUGCACGUACACGAUAACUUACCCGCGGUUGUGACGGUGACGAUGGCGGCGGCGGUGGCGGCGCUGAGGGCGACGCUUAAGAACAUUUUUCUGCCGCAGCGGAAGUCGGCCGCGACGCGGACAACACCCUCUCAGACGGUUUGGGGGGAGGCGACACGGCGGUGGCCGGUGGGGGUGGAGUUGAGGACGAGCCGGAGAUGAGGAUGGCAGCGAUGGCGGCGGCCUAACCCUAGAAAGGGAGAACAGUGGGGAGGGAAAGAGAGGAAAGAAAAUUGACAGGGGAAAGAAAUCGAGAGUGGCACGUUCGGGGUUGGGUGGGGGGGGGGGGUCGCCUAAUCAGGAGCGUUCGAUAGGUUGGGAUAUCUAUUGGUGGCAUUUGUGCCGUAAUUUGAGUGCAACCAAAGGACAGAUUUUAUCUGGGGCAUGAAACCGACAAGUGGAAUGCUCUCGGGCGAUAAGUUCGUCUGCUUUUGGCUUCGUAGGUUAUAUAUAGAAUUUCAAACAAAUUAUGGUUGCACAUGAGGAACGAUAAUGUUUCCUUUUUUUCAAUGACAUAUAAUGAUAAUCUUCUUUUUUAAUGGUAAAUAAUGAUAAAAAAUUAACGUCAUGGAAAAUGAAAUAAUAUUUUUGUGAAAUAAAAAAGGACGUGUGCAUUGCUUAAUGCAAGCCUGGAUACUCAGAAUAUUGCUAAUGGUGCUACUUCCCCUUGCCAAAAAAAAGGUUACUCUUAGAAGAAGGCAUCUGAUAGUCUACGUCAAAACGAAGAGGGCAACUCAUAAUCACGAGUAUCCGCAUCAACUGUAAAUGUGUUUUCUUUGUCACACUACUUAUCUAGAACUUUGCGAAUGUUAAAGCAAAUUAAAUGUGGUUACUUACUAUGUUUAGGGGCAAUCCAUGGCAAUGUUGCUUUGGCUUUGAAUUACCCAUCUCGGCCACAAUCAUAGAAUUAUUUAACUUCCUUCUUUCCUGCGAGGAACACGGGGCACGUUUUAGAGUAAUGCUAUGCGUAUGUUGAUUACUCGUCUGAUUUUGGUACCAUGCAAGAUUACAAGUGAGAGCAGGCAAUUCACCAAGUAGGCAAGUGCAAGGCUUCAAAAAAUAGGAGCUUCUUCCCAACUCCCAAGCCAGACUCGGUGCAAUUCAACACUCGUUGUACUAAGGCCAGUCCCAAUGCUCUACCACCGUAUCUUAAUAUGCCAACUAGGCAAAAACUGAUUAUGAGAGUUGCCUUCUUCUCUUUGACACGGAGCAUCAUGUCACUCCUAAUGCAUCGUUCGUUAUGUGUUGUCUCUUAGCCCACAAUAAAUGCUAAGAAACCAUAUCUCCAACUGUUGUAUAUCUCAUAUUUAUAAAAAGAGCGGCACUUGAGUUCCGCACAUUUGCUUAUGCUAAGGGCAUCUACAACAGUUUAGACACCCUGCUGUGUGUAGUAUACUUAUAGACAUGGAUUACAAAAACCUCUACAACAGGGUGUCUUUUGGCUGUGGUGGUGCCAGAAAUGAAGCAUAGUGUGGAGGAACACCUGCAUAAUUUAAAUUUUGGAACAUGUCCUGCUGAUUAGGCAGUUGUUGCAGAAGAGGAGAGCUCGACGGGUUUUCGAAGUAUAGCUUAGAUAACCACCCGGUGGACGGGGAUCUGCCCCCUUUAAAAAAUGCAAAGGCUUCAUACAACAACAGUAAACAGAAACACAUCAUACAACAAGGAUGUAAGGGAAAUAUGAUUUAUAUUCUAAUUAAGCAACAAUAUGUCAGAGUUGAACUUGCACGUCAAAUUUAAAAUUUUCCUACAUACGGCAACAUAUUUACAAACCUCAAAGGACUUCAACUUGCAAUUAGCUAAGAACAAGGCUGACUGUGUAUAAGGUGAAGUAUUAAGUAUUUGGAUCCUGAACUUUCUUCACCAUGUGUUGUAUGUCAAGCUUCUGAAUUUUCUACAUUCUCAAAGCUUGUUGUAUUCCAGCUGCUAUUUCAGUAUCACAUUGACAUAUUGUAACUAAUUAAUUUAGUUUUCAAUGCAAGGGGUACUUACAUAAGUUGAAUUCAGUCUGACCUCCUAAUAGCCAUAAACUAAGUGCUGCACCAAGGUACAAUUUAUCAGCCGUAGAAAUUCAAUCUGCAGAGUGUUCGUGAGCUUGCAGAGUUGUUGCUGAAGUCCACAUUUUGUUGUUCUUACUGUUCCUCAUGUCCACGUUAAUUAAAUAGACUGCCCAUUCUAAUCUUGUCUACUUAUUUCGUUUUCCCCUGUAACUACAUGUCCCUUAAACCUUCAAAGCAAAGCAAAAAAAAUACAUACAUAAAGAAGGGGAAUCAAUCGCUACAGCCUACAGGAGCAAGCACUAAAUCCCCGUGAAGCCAGCAAAAUUUAAUUGAACAUACGGGAAUUUCAUGAAAUGGAUAACAGCCUCAGACCCCAAAUCUCCUGCUAUUGCUCAAAUCAGGAAACUGCGAGAUACAAAUCAUAGCAAUCUAAGGUUGGGGAUGAGAUCUCGGAGGCUGCAGCAGAGUUCCAUGCCUGCUUGUCCUUCCGGACAGCCUGAGUCGAGGAGACGGAAGCACUGGCACCGGCCGGCGUAUUGCCCCACCAAAUUAAAUGGCCGUCCUAGAGCGGGGAACAGCGGCGACGUGCUCAGCGUUGGACACCUCCGGAGGCUCCCAUGGUGGUGGUGACGGUGCAGGGAUCCUCAAGCUCUGCAACAACUCUAGGGCAAUAAUCAAUGAACGUCGGAAGGGGGGGAUUGAGUGCGUCCUGGCUGGUUACACAGGGCGUGGCAUCGUGGAGAAGAAAAGCCGGCUCGAUCUGAUUUGGUUCGCGCGGCGGACUAAGUUUCGCGGGAAAGAGUAAAAGUUGUUUACCGCGAAGACUAAUCCCACGAUACCGACGCCCUCCUUGCAACGGAACCAGGCGCGGAAAUCGUAUGUCUGACAAAAUUAGCAAAACCAACAUUUUGGGCAACGUUAUAGGAUUUUUUUUUUCAAAUCACCAACACUUUUGUGUAUCGUGGUACUCCUGUCCACUAAUUUGCGACUUCAGCGCAUCUUGAUUGAAAAACCUGACAGGCGGCCAACCCGUCGGUGCUAACAUGGCGACACGCUGGAUAAGUGGUGCCCCGCGUCGGAACCGAGUAAAGUACGCAGAACCACCACAUUAAAGACAUUGUUCCGAAAACCACCGUUUUUGUUAAUUUUCGCGCAGAACCACCGCCUUCAGGCAACUUUUUGCACAUAACACUGGGUUGAGUUAGUCAACCCGACAUGUGGGUCUGAGGUGUCAGAAAUGUGGUCAACCCUUGGUUAUUCAUGAUACCUAUGACUAAAAAGAAAUACAGGAAAUGAGGUUUAGGAAACCUGCUGGAGAAGAGACAUUUUUUUUCCAAAAGUUUCUCUCUCUCCUAUUCUAAAAUAGUUUUUGGAAACUUGUUGGAGAUGCUCUAACUCCAAUUCCUCUUUAAGAGACAUCGUUUCUUUGGACUUGUCUCUCAAUCUACAAAUCCAUGUGGCGGACAAACAUGAUUUUUGAAUGCAAAAUUCAAACUGAAUAAAAUGAAAUCUAUCAAAAAAUUGGAUUUCAUUUCAUUUCUACCGGUCAAUAAAAGGAUGGAUGCCACCUGUUAGUUCUUUUGAAGCAACUGGGCAAGUAUGAAGGGUAGAAAGAAGAAGAAAAAAAGGGUCAUUUGUUAACCUUCCUCUCUCUCCUGGGCUCACCGCCGCCACCACCACCGCUCGUCUUCGGCGUCGGCGCCGCCGCUGGAUGACCACCUAUCCGAGAUGAUCGAGCAGCAGCCCUAGUCUCCCAACCUCACCACCGACUCUAAAACCGGAUCUUCCCGACACGAUGAGCAGCCCUAACCCUCGCCGCCGCUCGUCGUCGCCGGCAGUGGAGUCGUCGCUGGAGGACGACGAUCUCCUCCAAGAGAUUCUCCUCCGCCUCCCCUCGCAUCCGUCCUCACUCCCACGUGCCUCCCUCGUCUACAAGCACUGGCGCUGCCUCGCCUCCGAUCACCGCUUCACCCGCCGCUUCUGCCUCCGCCACCGCAGCAACGCUCCCCUGCUCGGCUUCUUCGAGAUCGACCCUGACGAAGGCCUCUCCUUCGUGCCUACCCUGGAUUCCCCCAACCGUGUUCCGUGGAACCGCUUCUCCAUGUUGAAGAUGCCCUCGGAGUUGCUCGGAUGGUUCCUCGGAUGCCGCCACGGCCUCGCGCUCGCCUCGGAGGUGCUGGUCUUGGACCCCACCAACGGAGACCUACACUGUCUCGACCUUCCCCCGGGGUUCGAUAUGAAGGGGGGUAUGAAAAUCCACGGCGCCGUGCUUCGCGCUGACGACGACAACGGAGAUGGCCACUUCCAGGUCGUCUUAGUUGGCAACGAAGAUCAGCAUCACGCACAGCAGAUGGCCUGCACUUACUCCUCCAAGAAGGGCGCAUGGGGUAAUUUAGUUUCUGAAAGGACAUCUUAUCCCCUAAGUGGGUUUUGGUGUAAAAGACAUCAUGUGUAGGUAUUUAACCAUGUGUGCUAAGUGAGUGAACAUGUUUUAAGUUGACAAGAUCAUCAAAGCAUAUGUGGUGUAUUGGUACAAGGAUAAAGGAUGAAGAAGGCGGUACAUUUAAAUUUGUGUUAUUUUACCUUCUUUGAGUCAUAGGAAAGCCGCACUAUUAAGGGGGAUCAUGUGAUGAACUUCAAUUGGAUUUACGUCUCCUUUACACAUCCCUAAUCCAUAUACUUACCCCUACAAACAGCCACAACAAUGUCUAGUUCAAUUCCAAACAUAAUUCCUAUUGAAAUAUAUCCUUUGUGCUGUUUCUGUGAAGGCCGAAAGCCUGCCGGAGGUUCUGGGCGUCCUCCGGAUGGGAUCUGUGCUGGCCGGAAUCUGGAAGGCCCUCCGGGCAUACCUCCGGAUGGGUCUAGUAGCUUCUGGACUCACCUGAAGGUUCCUCCGGAAGCCACCCGGAACCCGGGCUGUACAGGCCUCGUCCGGAGCCCACGUGGAGCCUCACUACAGUGCACCGUCCGGAAUUCGUCCGGAGGUUCCGGGUGAAUUCCGGGCAGUGCACUUCAGCACCAACCGGCAGAUUUCUGGGUGGACCUUUAAAUAGGCCCCACCCUUCUUCUUCGUGGGUGCCUUCUUCCCCACACGAGCCGAGCCUAAUCCCAAGCUUCUCCAUUGUUUCCCAAAGCUCAAAUAGCUCCCAUUCCCUCGCUCAAAUCGAAUCGAUCCUUUGAGGGAAAAGAGAGAGGAGCCCUAGAUCUACACUUCCACCAAAGGGAUUCGUCCCUCUUGGAGUUCAUCACUUGAUUUGUUACUCUUGGAGUUGUGGGGACUCCUAGACGGUUGGAGUCACCUCAGGAGCAUCCAUUCUCUGUGGAUUUGCCCCGUGAAGUUUGUGAAGGUCCGGUGGCCACCUCAAGGCCAACCACUUAGUGAUUGAGCUCCUACUUUGGUGUGAGAGGCUCAAGGAGAUUGGGUGUGCCCUCUCACAGCUAUUAGGGAUCUCUCGUGGUUCCCUCACCCCUCCAACGGUGACUAGCUUCCUCCCAAGAAAGUGAACAUCGGGAAAAAUCCGUGUCUCCUUCGAGCCCUUCGGUUGCUUCUUUACCCAAGCUUAAUUACUUUGUGUUUGUUCUUGUUGCUAGAUUAUAUUGCAUCAUAUAGGUUGUUUCACUUAGUUGCAUGUAGAAAACUUUUAUAUUCCGCUGUGGCUAAUUUGCUAAAAGUAAGUCGAAAUUUGUAGUUGCCUAUUCACCACCCCCCCUACUCAACAUCUCGAUCCUCUCAGUUUCAACAAUGCUUCCACCUGGCUUCUCUGACCCCCAGGCCCCCCUCAUAAUUGAUACCACCAGUCCUGCUAUCCUUGUUGGGGAUUCCCUUCAUUGGAUUUAUAAUCACCCGCGAACUAUUCUUGAGUUUGAUUUGGGUAGAACCUAGUGGUCAUACCGUUGCCUCGGGAAAUCAGCCCUGACUUGUAUACCUAUGACUACUUCAACGUUGUGUGAGCAGAGGGUGGUGAGCUUGGUUUCCUCUGUCUGUCAUUGUGUGACACGGCCAAGUUAUGGAAGAGGGAAACUGAUUGCCGUGGUGUUGCAUCAUCAUCAUGGGUGCUAACAAGAACCGUUGAGCUCGAGAAGCUACUUUCCCUGGACCAGCUGGAUCCAGAGCCGUUGAACGGCCUAUGUAUACAAGGUAUGCCGAGCACAAUAACGUCGUGUUCCUGCGGACAGAGCCUCACGUCUUCAUGCUCCAUCUUGACACAAUGGAGUUGAAGCAACUCAAAACCGCUUCUGAUUAUAGCUAUCCAUUUGAAAGCAUCUACACGGCAGGUAAUAUAUAAUUAUAUAUUAGUACGUCUUAAUUUAGUCUUGACUCUUUACUCUUUACACUGUAGCUGGUAAUAGCAGAACCAAACAAAUUAAUUUUUUGAUAAUUGGAUGAUCGAACGCCGUUAUUAACAUCCUUUCAUGUUAAUCUAUAACAAUUUUAAGUAGCAUGCUAACUGCUAAGUAGUUUCUGGAGUUCAUUAAUUCCAUCUUUCCGUUCCAAUUAUAUUUAUUUAAAUGUGUUUGAAAUCCGAAUAUUCCCGGUUACUUAUGUUACCAUGGUUUAUAUGGUAUGGAAUGAGCUUACAAAUAAGGGAAAGUAUCCAUGAGAACUGGAUUACAGUGAAAACCUGCAAACUAGCUACGGGUUCCAUUGGAUUGAAAACGGAUGGUACAGAUCAAAAGUGGGGUUUCUAAUCAACCACUUAUUGCAUUUUGCCCAUAACCCACUCCUUUUUUACUCACCAUCAGAAAACUCCUUGCCUGUUCGUCUUCGGUCUUGCUUUCCCGUUCCAAUCCCCAUGGGAGCACUGCCCUGGUGCGAAGACGACUCGGCGGAAGCUGCUGUGCCCCGGCACCAGGGCAAAUCAGCGGCCCCGUGCGAUGGCUACCCCGAAGCUGCCCCGUGCCGGCGACAGCGAAUCGGCGUCUGGUGAUGUCGUCUUGCGGGAAAUUUCUUACUGACCCGGUGGGUGCCUGCCCGACUUAUCGACACCAUACGCCCACUUCGGGAUCUGGGCCAUAUUACGAUUCCCAGCAUAGAUUUGCAGGCGGUUUUGUAGAACAUGGUCCCACUUGAAUAGUGCACCUCGUAGGGUCCCUAGGCUACUGUCCCACUGGAGGCACACGCACAGCUGCUGUAGGUCGGCUCUGAACUCAUGGAAUACAAGUAAAUGAAUUCAAAGAAAGAAGUGGUCUAUCUGAAUAAUGGCUCUGAAAGCUAACAAAGAAGCCAUUCAAAUUCUGAAAAAACUGCUUCCAAUGUGGAGAGAAUUCAUUCAAACUCUGGAGAAAUUUGUACUUUGCACUUUGUGCUUCACAAACAAGAUGCACAUGAUCUAUUUUCCAGUACAAGAAGAUGCAGUUUGAUCCAAUGUUCUAGUUUUCAGAAACAGAUUGCAGAAUGCACCUUAACGCCUUUCUUCUCUUGUGGAGUAAUGCACAUGGUGGAGCCGGAGCCCGCACUGAGAUCGGGACCGACAACCGGCAGCGCGCGAUCCAGCCGCUACCUCUAGGUCCACGGCCACCUGAACCGCCGAGGAGCACAAGGGAGUUGCUCAGAAGCAGCGAGGCAUGACUGAUAAUACUCUGGCCAGGAGGCGGCCGGCGAGCGCGGCAGCGCAAAGGAAGGUGGCGGCAGAUCCGGCGGCGGGAGGAGUUGGUCGAGCGAGAGAGAAAGAGGUGGCACAGGGCGUCAUGGAUAGGCUAGAGCACGAGGCCACCCUCUUCUUCUCCUGGCCGCAGUGGCGACAUGCGAUUCCCUCUCCAAGGCCUCCUAACCUUCUCUACGGACGGGUCAGCAGGGCGUUUUCGACAUGUGGACCUCACCUGUCAGAAAUUAUUAGUUUUAAAACGUUCAAGGACCAAAACGGGCGCGCCAAAUGAAUGCCCAACCUGUACCGCUGCCUUCUUCCGCGUUUGAAUUACGCGCCACACACUGUGCUGGCCCAUCUUGAACAGUCUUUUACAAGUGCAACAGCACAUCAACUUUUAAAAGUUAACUACCUUACAGAUAAGCGCGCUUUGCCACGCCAGAUAACAACAGGUCAACAAAGUCUGAGAUGUUUACUGUAACAUUAAUAAACACUAUUUGAAACAAUAGGAAGCACUUUGUAACAGAAUUAAUCCAUAAGCAUGCACUAAAUUAAUCAAAAAAAAAUCCAAAGGUGGAUUUUCUAUUAAGUAGCACUGCAAUUCCCGGUAUAGUCUGGUCAACUUAAGGAGGUGCAAGAACCUUGACUUUCUCAUCUCCUAUGUGCUCAGGGCUAAGAGAGAGGCUUUUCCAUGGCAACCAAGCAGAUAGAACACCUGCAUAUCAGAUCGAUUGUCAAUAACCACAAGCCCCAGUUCCUAAAAACAAUAGUAUUAUCUUCGAGGAAUUCUAAUGCAUGGCUGAUAAUACUCUGGCCUCGGAACAGGAGAGCAUUGCAAUGGAAAGGAAAGAUCUAGUAAAUGGAGCAACAAAUAAGUCAGAGACUAACUAAUCAACAAAUUGGAGAAAAUUGUGCGGUUUAAGGGUAGGAGGGAGAAUUGGAAGAAACACACAAAUCCAAAAUAAGGCAGUAAAUGAUAUGCAAUGCGCUUCAUCAAUGGCCAACGAGCAGAAUCGAGAAGCCAGCAAGUUACUCCAAAAUCCAAAAGGCUUAAAAAAGGUAAAUCAACAGACUGGGUGCUAUAUUACCAGAUUUUACAAGGGACUAAGGAAACAAGAAGAGCAGUAAUUUGCAGUAUCAAGGCCUUCCUCUUCCAGCCAAAUAAUGGCAAUUGGUCUCAGAAGAAUAUGGUAAGCACUGCAAGAUAUAAGUCGACAAUGUGUAUAGUCUGUUUUCUAUAUCACAGGAUUUCACCUUGAAGGAAGCGAGAUAACUUUCUUUGGUGUCAUGUAGAGAACAUCAGAAAUGCCUUUCUCAGCCUCACUGCUAACAGUGGUAUUCAUUUUGGUGUUGUCAAGGUACUCAGAUUUCACACCUUUUUGUUUUAAACCCAAUGACCUGCUUUAAGUAAAUGAAAUCCAUAUGAAAAGCUUUCGUAUAUUGCAUUCUUCUAUGCUUUCUUGCUCUGGAUAUGGAAGUAUUUCAUAUGCGUGCUCUGGAUAUAGUCAAACAGUUCCAAAAAAAGCUCAUCCAAUAAAUUUAACAGUGAUUUAUCAAGACUACUUAAUGCUAUACUUCCACCAUUGCCGUAACAUUCAUCAACGCAAAAACCAUGAAAUCAUGUAAUUAGUGAGCACCACCGGCCGCUAACAGCAAAAUCCAGCAAUCGUACGACCUUGCCCAACCCCAACCUGCAGAACAAACAAGAAAUCAAGGGCCACAACACCAAGCACACACGCAUCAGACAUCCCGAGCAACAGCAGGCACAAACAUCCAAUCGAACAGCAAGCAACCAAGCAACUCCUAACAAACAGAGCCCUAGAAAAAAAAAUACAGAAGCCACAACCGACAGAACAACGCCACAGCCUCGCCAAAAGUAGAAAUCACCUGAAGGAGACCAAUCCAGCCAACGGAGAGCCCAACGAACCAGAAACAGAGCAGGACCUGCGCAGAGAAGAGAACACAAUCAAAACCAAAGACAAACGUGCAGCCAGAAAGAACACACCAGCACAAACAAAAAGGAAAAAAAGGAGAGGUUUCGACGAACCGGGAGAGGCGAAGAAAUCCCCAACGACAGACCACCAGCGCCUCCACCUCCACUGACCCCCACCGCCGCCAAGAGCAAGAAGCCGGAGAUGGCGCAGCACCAACCCAACACCCGGUGAGAACCACCUCGAUUCAACCGAACCCCACCCAAUCGCCCAGGAGAUUUCUCGAAGACACCCAAAGUUGGACGCAACCGGAACCGAAAGCCCACCAGCCUCCGACGGCCCACAGAAGCCCAUCACACUCAACCGUCGGAAAAAAAAAAGGUAAAAGAAUCGACGUGGCCGAUCGGGCAAGAAGGGAAACUCUCCGCCCUUUAGUGGAGAGAAAGAUAUAUCGUUUCUACUACCAAAACCCUUUGCUCGGCAGCACGUCGCACCCGUGUAACAGAUAGUGACAUGCCAUUAAUUAAUAACCUGAACUUCAAGUUAGCUAAGUCUAAAUUUCAUAACAUCCCAUCUAUUUCACCCCACCACCUAUGAAGACGAUUAACCACCAAUCGAUCAUUUCAUUAGUAGGGCAAGAGUCAAGUAGUUAUAGCUUUAAAUCCGAGCAUAGUAUUUUGACACCAAGAAAAUCAAAGGGCACACUAACUCUGCAUAAUAAUCGUCAAAGGCACCCAUACCAAAUGGUAAACAAAAUUGUUUGCUUCCAACAAAAAGGACAAACUGUAUUAUUUUUUUAGCAAAUCCGAACAAUGGUGUCAUAAUUUCCACACGUGCAUAACAACUGUAUUUGACAGACCUUUGCACUCUAUCUACAUGGAAAUAAUUUCCACACGUGCAUAUUCCAGCUCCUCUCACUUCUGUAAUUGGUUUGUCGACCACUCUUUUAUACGCCUGCAUUGUGCCACAAGGUAUAGUCAGUGAAGGCCCGCCAAAAGAGUUAACCCAUGAAUUCGAAUAUAGUACCUUCUGGCAGUACUUCUUCAACAAUCCUUAAGUUUUAUUAAAUGUUCUGGUUUUGAGAGGUCAAGAAAAGGCUUUGAAGACGUAACCCCACCAGGUUGAAUCAUCUCUGACUCAAUUUGCCUGUUUAAUCUUUAUGUGAUGAUGAUAGUCACUUCAAAAUAGAAAAACAUUAGAUUGGAAAAUCAACAUACUCAUAUAAAUUUGUAAAUUAUACUUCUUCCUUGCCAUGUAUGUCUCUCCUCGCCAUACCCAUUCAAGUGUUCUAAGGCAAUUCUUUCCAGGAUGAUUGAAAUCGCAUGCUGUGCUCCACAUCUGUAACUAUGGGUGGUGGCUGCCAUCAACAAGUAGGAUAGGAAAAGACAAGACUUAGUUUAAUUGCUAUAAUCUUGUAAAUACCUUGUAUGACGAUACAACUGAAUAAAGCUGAACCACUUUGGUUAAAUCUUUGUAACAUAUGGUGACUACAACAAAGAGGCCUUAGUUAUCAGCCUGUGUGGUACUGUCAUCAGCAGACAUAAAUCUGCCUAAGUGCCUGUUGAAACAUGUGUAGCUAAUAGUUUAAAUUGCACACCUUUCCAUAAGGACUAUAACAGCUAGGCUUUUAGGUCAAUUGGUUUGUGCAUGAAACCACGGUAUGACAGCAGAAAAUAGUAAGCUCAAGACUACCUAUGCUCAAUUUAUUAAAAUUAUUUGGUGUGUGCACGUGUCACUAUGCUGGUCUUGCAGUUAUGCCCCCAGCUCGCUAAUGUGUGAAUUGCCUGCCAUCAGUCAAGCACAUAUGAUUUGGGUGAAACAAUCAGUGAUGAAAUACAAUGGUGUCAUAAUUGAAUUAUGGCAAUGCCACGGUUCAAAUUUCCUGCACUCGUUGUAAAUCCCAGAAUGAUGAUUGAGCAAAUGGUGCCCAAAGAGAAUCUAGAUCUCAACCAGACAAUCCUCAGAAAUUAUAUAGCUAGAACGCCAGAAAAGCAAGUUAAGCUGUACCUCACCAGAUCAAGAUCUCCUUAGCUUGUUAUGCACACAAAAUUCAUAUAUAUCACCCAUGGACCAUGGUCAUGGAAGUAUCCAUGCUGAUAAUAACAGCAGAGCAACAUUGAAUACUUGAUUAAAGUGUACAAGAAUACCUGGAGCAUAUUAGUGAAAAUGAUAUUUGGAUACAUUGUAGCAACAUCCAGAUGAUAUAUUUAAGAGGGCAUUCUUCACGAGUUGGGUGGUCUUGCAACGAAAUAAGCUGUGAAUUCAACAUGGCAAAGGACAAUCAAGUUUGGUGCUGGCAAGUCACGACACUUUAACUAUGCCAGUCAUGCUGUUAUUAUGUUCAGCAAGAUGAUUAUAUAAGAAAAUAAUAACUAUCCUUGAUAUAUUAACAAUACCAAUUUAUUCCAGGGCCUCACACCAUAGCAUAGUGAACUACGUUUGACAAGUCGAAUUUUGGCAAGCUAAGAAAUAUUUGGCCUUCACUUGGUUUGGUCCUGAAAUUUGCCAAUGGCCCAUGUUUCUCCUCACAUUGGCUUAAAAAAAUUGGUAUCCAAUUGGCUAGCCCUGAUUUUGGCUUUAAAAACUUAGUUAGCAAACCAAGAAGGCCCAAGCCAACAUUUUGCGGACUGGUUUUUCCCCCAGAUCAACUACAUGUAUUCACGAAUAACUAUUAAGUGGAAUCUGAACAACAACUAAUUAAUGGAAGAGAUGAAAUGGAUUUGUUUAAUUUGAUGAGUAUCAUAGAGAUUGUUGCAUCAGGAGAAGGAUUCAUCAGAAACAAACUUGAUUGUGUUAGAAAGAGAGAAAGUAGCACCAUGUUCUCCUUAUACACCAAAGUGUUCCCCUGGAUCCUUCUUAUUGUCUUCUUGCUCAAAUCUGCGAGAUCAGGGGACACGCACAACACAAGUAAAUAACAAGCACCCAUGGCCUGAACAUAAACAACCUAAAAACAACGCACACGAACAGCAGACCCUGAAGAAACAAUACGUUACGAUCCAGAAGCGUUGCACCUCGCCUAAACGAACAGACCAGCUAUCCAAGGAAGCAAAAGAGACUCAGAGGAAUCGAGACAAUAGAGGGGAAAAAAUCAGCAUGCCGGGACGCACCAACCUCAGUGCAGAAAAGAGCAGGCAGCAACCCACCAGCAGGCCACGGCGACCCCCAGGGCUGCACAAUAGAACAGAGAUCAUUGAGAGAACCCAACAACAACUAAAACAACAAGACACAUGGCAAAACAGAUAACCCACCUCUACCAAAACCCUGCAUAGUCAGCUCGCAGCCAAACAAUCGGACCACGCGCAGCAGAAUUUGACAGCAGUCGAAACGACAGAAACAGAGAGCACAACACAACAAGAAGAACAGCCGAGAAGAAUGAAGCAGCUGGGCACCCAAAUAAAGGAAGAAAAUAGACUUGUAGACUGGAAAAAAAAACUGUGUGAAGGACGACCCACUGAACAUAGGAAAUACCACGAAGGCCGCCAUACACCACAUACAGCGAACCAAAACCCACCUCAACAGAACCGGUAACACGACCACCACAAGAAUGGACCAACAAAGCCACUGACCGACGGACCCCACAAAACGGAAGGCCACAAGCAGCAACAGCAAAGACAGUCGCCUCGAAACAACCAGCGCACCCACACUCCAUCCAAAGCGCCUGCAACACUGCAACUCCACCCAAUCGCUGGCAAAACCAAAAGGCCCAAAAUCGACCCGCACGACCCUAACAUCUGCAGCCUACAUGUGUGAUGAGGGACAGUAGAGAAAAUCAAAAUAAAAUAAAAAUAGAAGUGAGAUCUCUUAAGUUUUCUAAACACUUCUACUAUAAUCCAAGUAACUUGUCAUUUAGUCAUAAGUGUUGUGGUAGUUUCUAGAGUGUUCUACUAUAAAUUGUAACUAGGAUAUUUCUAUUUCUUUUUCUAGUUUUGAGUAGUGUUCACUAAGAGUUUCUAGUUAUAAGUAGAGCUAAAUAGUGCAGACUCAUGAGGCUUAUAAAUAGAGAUCCACACCUAUUUCUUAGAAGGACUAUGUACCACUACCUAUCAAUAAAGAGCACUUUAUGUUCUUUGUCUUAGAUCUUGGAUUAGAUCUUGUGUGCUAAGAGUUUGGAUUAAACUCUUGGCAGUCCCCCAUCCCUAGAGCGAUAUCUAGCGCAGCACGUUGAAGUGGUUCCUUCAACAAUUGUGCUGUCUACAUUGUAGCAGCAAGGUGGAGUUGUUCCUCCACAACCUUGUGCUGCAUCAGGUGGUAUCAGAGCCCUGCUGAUCCGUUCUAGUUGCUGGUUUCCUCAUUGAGAGGAAACUGUAGCAAGCAAUGGAGGAAUUGGGAAAAAGAGUGGAUGCUGCAGAACAGCAAAUCCAAGCGUUACGUGAAGAUAUUACCGGAGAUUCGAUUAGUUGGUUGAGAUGAUAAGAAAGGGUGUUCCUCCAGCUACCCAUGAAGAAGAUACAUCUAAGGAGGAAGGAGAUGUUCGGCGGCGAAGGAAGGAAGCUCAUCUUCGAACCCAAGUAUCACAACGACAUGCAUUUCAGCGUACUUCAAGGAGGCCAACUUAUGCUGAAACUUCUGAAGGUGAAGAAUCUGAUGAGGGCCUUAAAGAACCUGACCUCUAUGCGUAUCCGAGAGUAACUAAUGCUACAUACGCGAGAGACACAUACAAGGUGAAAGCUGAAAUCCCCACUUUCAAUGAAAAUGUUGAUAUUGAAGGGUGCCUUGAUUGGUUGUACCAGGUGGAGACUUUCUUUGAAGUCAUGAAUAUUCCAGAAGACAGUAGAGUUUCUUUGGUCGCAUACAAGCUAAAAGGAGGAGUUGGCAAAACCAAAAGGCCCAAAAUCGACCCACACGACCAUAACACUAGCAGCCUACAGGUGGACCACAGAAAGCACCCGGCCCACACGCAGCACAACAGAUGUUGCUAACCUACUUUCUACCCAGGAACGCCAAGAGGCACCAGAGAGAGGACAAAGGCAUACAGUCGAAUAUUGGUGCGGAUGUCGCCGAUGGAGGUAGCGACAGCCUGAAUCUGUGUGCCCACCUCGGCCAACACCUUCUUAAUCCCUUCAUCGAGCAAGGCUUUGAGAGAUUCUUCUAGCUUGUCCAUGGCGGCCAAGACAAAUCGUGUCUGGGCCGAAGGUUUGGAGACGGGAGCCGUCGCGACUUCCUCUACGUCGGUCAAACGCCGCCGGGAUUUAGGGGGAUCGACCUGAAGGUGUUCCCCUACCGAGCGGUCGAUGUUACUGACCGGCGGCAGGAUUGCGAAGCGCGCCGAGGACCGGGAGUCUCUGAUACCAAGUUGUUACACCCUAGCCUGUUCCGGUGGGAGUUGUUGCCGGAGACAAGCUAGACAGCGGCGCCGCCAGACUAAGAUAUUGGGAGAGAGCCUUGUUCCAUUUCUUUUCAUCGAUAACCUACACAGCGCAAGCUACUGCCUAAAACAGUCUCAGUGUUUGGCCCAACACGGCCCAAGGAGUUAAGUUACAACCCAAGCGAAGGAAACUGGACAGGCCCAGUCAAGCAGUACACUAGAAGGUUAAUCUCCCGAUGGUACACCUGUAGUAACACCUUCAGGUGUAACAUGAAAUCACUACAAUAGAUCUCGCCGACGUGGCACACCCGAGAAGACACCCAUUCUUUCCCUCUUAUUGGGGAAAAUAAUCUUCCCAUUGCCCCAAAGGAUUCGUGUAUCCUGAAGAAGAAAUAAUAGAAAAUUCAGUUAAUAUAGCAUUCUAAGAGAAAGGAGAAACCAAAUUAUCUACCCUCCACCAUCAUAAGAAGGCCAAAAUAUAUACACCUCGACAACAAUUUAUAUUAGUGCUCAACAUAGAAGACCAAAAAACAAAAAUUAACCAUAUAAAUAGUAAAAACAAAAUUUAGAGGGCAAUAAUUCAAACUUGAGUCUUUAGUAUUAUGCGAUGGUGGUCAGAAAAUGGGUUAAAAUUAAUACACAGAAAAUAAAGGCGAUCUAACCUCCAGAAUAGAUACUUUAGAAGCCUCAUCUCUGGAGGUAAGAUGAUUUUGAGGCUUUCCUUGGUAGUAAGUCCAUUUUACCCCACUCAACUCUUGGGAAAGUUCAAAUUUAACCCUAAACUCUAAAACCGGGCAAAUUACCCCCCUGAACUCUUGAAACCAUCCACAAGGACCCCCCGGCUGUUUCCCCUUAGUCUUGGCUGGUUUUGAUUGCCUCGCUGGCACUUUGACCAGCCUCUGACCUCCAAGCUGGCAAAGGGGUGGGUUGCUGCCCCUUCUCUCUUCUAUCUCAUGUGCCUCUUCUCUAUCUCUCUCAGUUCUUUCCCCAGCAAACUCUAGACCUCCUGGCCCUGGCGGCGGAGGAGCAAGGACCAGGGCCGUACCUAGAAAUUUGAGGCCCCCGUGCGAAAUCUAAAAUGAAGCCUUAAAAUUGUGUUUGCCGAUAACAAAAAUACAAUUUUUCAUUUAAUUAUAUGACUUCCAGAUAUGCUACUACUUAUUGCGACACUUAGUACCAAACCAUAUACUACAGAGUAGUACUACUCGCAAGCGUAGGGUGCCAGCGUACAGACUAUACAAAGUUAUGAGCGUGCGAUACAUGUGGUGGGUUGAUUGAUCGGUCAUGUGGCCAUUUUUCCUUUCCUGCCUGUUUCCAUGAGCCAUUGGGCCUUCUAUUCAGUGGAGUAUUAAGCAGAGAAAUUAAUUAAGGUAACUAUUAGUAGUACUAGUACUUAAGUAAUUUUUGGUGGCCCCUAAAAAUUGGGGGCCCUGUUCCGUCGGCCAGCCUGCCCCUGCUGGUGUACGGGCCUGGCAGGGACGACUGGGCAGGGUGGCGGUUGCGGCUGAGCAAGGGCGGCUGCGGGAGGUCAAAGGCGAGGGACAUUGCAGCAACACAUGGACGACGCUGAGUAGCUGAGAACAGAGGAAAAUGGGGAUGGAAGGAGCUGCUGCUGCCAAAUUGCCUCCGCUGCCGUGCUCAACAACCGCUGCCGCUGCCGAAUCGGAGCGCUGCUGCAGCUCAACCGCCGCUGCCGACCCGAAUCGAAGACCUGCCACAGCGGCGUCUCUAGGGUUCAGUGAGGGAGGAGAAAACGAGAAUGAGAGAGAAGAAGUGGCAGGGAGAGAGAGAACAGAGCAGGACCAGCCCAUUCCUUUGCCAGCGUGGCGGUCAGAGGCUGGUCAAAAGCACCAGCGUGGCAACCAAUACCAGCCAAAACGAAGGGGAAACCGCCAGGGGGUCCUCGUGAACGGUUUCAGGAGUUCAGGGGGGUAAUUUGCCCGGUUUUAGAGUUUAGGGUCAAAUUUGAACUUUCCCGAGAGUUGAGGGGGUAAAAUGGACUUACUUCUUGCAUAAAUAUGAUAUAUAUUAUAUCAUUGACCUAUGCCACAUGAUGCAAGUAAACAAACAUUCUAGAAGAGUUUUAGCUCGUAAUAUUAAAAACGCUCCACGGUGAAAACCACAACAACAUUACUUAACAGAUAAUAUUAAGGCUCUUACAAUUGAUGUUACAGUGCAAUUCUUUAUGCAGGUACUAUCAUUAAUCCUGAGCGCACGUGCAAUGCUUUUAUACAAAAAACAGCAUGUGUAAUGUAUGAGAUUAAGCAAUUUAGUUAGUCUAAUUCGUAUCAUGAAAGCUUACUACACCUACAUUUUUCUUCAAGUGCUACCUGGCUGCAUCCAAAUUUGCAGAAUGAUAAGAGCAUGGACAGCUUAAAGCUCAGGUGAGCAGGUGUGCAAGAGUAUAUGUUCUUACGUAGCAAUAAAUCAGGAUCUAAACAGGGACAACUUAUAAAAAAAGUUCAAUUUUCACUUAGAAAAACCUUGUUCAUCAUAGUUUUAGAGUCUUUUGAAGCAGCCGAAGCUUUAUUAAUGAGGAGAACUAAAGAUGAGUCGAGUUCUUAGCCUUAUCUAAGUUUUUUUUUUUCACAGGCAUGUAUCUGGCAUUUCAUUCGGUGCAAGUAUUUUCGGUGAAGACCACUUGAUGUGUAUUACAUGUAAAGCAAACUGACUUUGUUCAUAUGAUUGUAAGAUCCUGUAAGAUCCCAAAGGAUCGUAACUGAGGUUAGAUGCUAUUAAAACAGAUCAAAUGGGAAAAUGAAACACCCAAUAAUAUAGCAGCAGCAAAUCGCAAGGAGUACAUAGAUGCUUGAAGUCAAAUUUCUUUAACCAAGUAUGAGCCAAUUACCUCAAGAUGGGAUAGUUGAUGGAAAGAUGGGAUUACCUCAAGAUGUUGCUCAGUCAGGAAAGGAACUACAGCCUCUGGACUUUUUGAUCCCUCAGGAAGCACGACCUGUGAAAUUAAGAGUUUAACAAUGAGGAACACCUUUUUAUUCAUGCACACCCUCCAGAAUAGCUGCUCAGCCUGUUUUGUUGUCUUUGGUAGUUUAUUGUUUGUUAGAUAGGUUAGGCUAGUCAUGGUGGCAAGCACUAUGUUACUACCUCAAUACUGGGUAAUAACAUAAUUUGUGGUGUUGUUGUUCUCGACAACAAUAAGAGUAAGGGAUGCCAAAACUCGAUGGCACAAGUGCGAGUACGCCGGCCUUAUAGAGAAGGUCGCCGUACACUUGGACAAGUUGACACGUCGAUAUUUCUUGAAUAACUUCGGUCGAUCCUGCGGGUGCGACCUAGUCCUAUGUUAGGAGAGGCUUCGAGGGGAUCGUUAGCCAAAGCGUUUCGGGUCGAUCGAAGCUCCCCGAAUCACUUAGCGAGAGGUCGAAAGGGGCAGCCCCGUACUUGGACCGAACGAGGCUUCCCAAGUAGUGGGGUCGAGGUACCCUUAGGACUCUAAUCCGAUUCCCUCUCCUUCGGGCUCGGGCCGAACGAGGCUUCCGAAGAUCCCGAAACUAGAGCUCCUCUCAAAGAGGCUCUCUAGCUCUCUUCCCUUGAGUUUAUUCAAGUGAGAGUGAAUGGUACAUGCCCCCAUGGGGGGUAUUUAUAGCCUAGGGGUCCAUGACAAAAGAGCAUGGCUACCCUUGGGUGAGAGAAAAAAGUGGGGACAAAAUGGUAAAAGUAGCUUCUUAGUCCAUAACUUUUGUGUGCACCAUGUGGGAAAAGUGGGGCUUGGUCCAUAGUCCACCAUGGACUAAGGGGCCCCUCCUCACACCUUUCUUGCCCUGAGAGGUUUGACUUGUUGACUUGUCUUCCUUUGCCACGUAGGAUUGACCACGCCAUGUGGGCGUCUUGACUCGUGCUUGGAAAAUGUUGACUCGGUCGUCGCCACGUAGGAUUUAUGGCCCGGCCCAUAUAAGGGUUUUAUUUUACUACAACGGUAGCCCCCUUGAGCGGGAGCCAUUGUGAAUGUCUUUGGGUCAACCGUCGUGAGAGACUCCUGAGAUCUUCCCUUCGUGAGAGGAAAAGGUACUUUGGUGGCUUUCCUGCAAAAAAAAGGAAUCUUAGAGGUGUUUUCGGGGAAAUUCCAUGCCUUCGGCGAUCUUCUUUGGGAGACAUCGGAUUUCGGGGGGUAUCUUAGCAAAAACCGGGACCCUAGGGGCCUUUCUGCGAGAAAACCGGUGCCCGAAGGACUAUUUUUGCAAAAAUCAGGGAUCCCGAGGGUCUCCCCGAAAUCUCCGAGGACUUACUGGCAAUUUUCCCUAAAUCCUGGGCUUUUACGCAAUUUUUCCGCACCCACUCGGCCGCGUGGGCCAACUGGGCCGGCUGCGCAUGCGCGGGCGAGAAGGGGGCCAACGACCGGGCCGGCUUCCUUGGGUGAGCAGGCUCUGCUUCUCCUCCCUUUCUCUCCUUUUUUUUUACCUGGUCUGUUUUUUGGGCCGCUUUUUGGGCCGCGGCCCAACCGGGCCCGGUACCGGUUCGCCUGGCUUUAUGGAGAUCCGACGGCCGACAGGGGCUCCCGGCCCUAGAUCCGACGGCCAGGAACCUUUCUUCUUCCUUGGUAUGGUGCAUGGAAAGGGGGUCAAACCGACCACCCAUGUGUUCGCCUUCAGCCCCGGUCGGGGCAUCUUCGGGGGGGGGGCUCCCCUUCCUCCUCUCUUUCUUCCUUUGGAAAAAGGCGCCUUGUUUCCUUCCCUUCUCGUUGGUUUGGGGCAGUGGGAGGACGGUGAGGUUUCGAGUUCCGAUUGGCUGGCCCGGACGUCGAGGACCCCUUGGGGGCCUAUAAAAUGGAACCAGGGGUUCAUGUGGGAGCUCACACCGGCUUUGUCUGACUUCUCCGGCGCCCAAGCCUCGUUCGGCGGCGUCCGAGACUUCUCCGGGGUUUGGUGUUCUAGGGAGCUCCGUAGGGGCUUUAGCCACUUCUUCGUUGUCACGGCGGUCGUCUUGGCUUUAACCAUGGCCGGUGUCAGUUGAAAAAGCCAAUUCCAGUGCAUGGCCACGGCGGUGUUGGACGCAGUGGAUCACCGUCCUCCGAUUCGCCGGCGUGGCACCCCAAUCGUGGCGCGGCCAUCAAGCUCCCUCCGCGGCGCAUCGAUCUCAUCGGCUGCCCGGUAGGUGCAGCAGCCCUGUCCCUCCGCCGGCGACGCUGCCAAACCGGUGCCCAUAUGGCGGCGGCCUCUUCCCUUCAACCGGCAGGUGUAGCAGCCCUUGAGGCGGUGCCGGCGCAGCCGCUUCGUCAAUGGAGGUUGGACUAGAUCACGAAGAGAACAAUGUUUUUCUAUUUUUACUUAAUUGCAAAGUAAAAUUCAGUUGACCACGGUACCCUCACGCAAUUACAAUUUUGCCCUCCAAUUGGAGGUACUCCAUGGUUUUCGACUUGGUACUCCGUGAAAUCGAGAAUGGAGUACCACGUAAUAAUAACCACUAGAUCUGACCUAAUAAACGGUUCAUAUUAAAUCCGGUGUACCGUAAAAGAGCUCUCACUUGAUAAGGGAGUUGCUACCCUGUCCAUUAAACCGGAAGGAAUAUUGAAAAACACAAACAAUCUUCAAUCUUUUUUCCAACUAAAUAACUAAAAAUAUAUAAUGAUGUAUAUAAAAAGUAGUUUGUCUAUUUUAUGUAAAUAGGUGAUGCGGCGCCGUGUUUCUGCGGAACCGUGUUAAAAUAAAUACAUAAAUAGAUGUUUAAAAUUAACUAAAAUUAAAAUGUAAAAGUGAUGUUGUUUCACAUUUAUAAACAAUAAAAUAUAAGAAGAUGAAAGUGUUGUUGUUUCACAUUUAAAAACAAAUAAAACGUAAGAAGCAUCGAAAGCUCAUUCCAAGUUGCAUUAACACCCCCAUCGAAACCAUAUCACAAUAUCAGGCACCAAGAGCGCCACGACGUGAUCGCCGAGGUGGCCGAAAUAGCGCGGAAUGGUCGGCGGCAACAUGCUGCACCGCGACGGGCUGCACCGCCGGGUGGCUGCCAUCGGUGUGCUCGAGUGCGCGGAUGGUUUUCUUUUUCUUUUUCUUUUUCUGAGACGGGUGGAGACCUUUUUGUAGCGUGCUUAAUUAAAGUUUAAUGUGUUAAUGUAACCGUGGUUAGCUGGCAACAGUACACGUACGCCAUCUUGCCGUUGGAUUCGAAUUUCUGAAUUCUUUUCCGGAGAGCAUGUAUGUUGUUAAAACAACUGUAACUUGUCAUUGAACACUUUACAUAGUUCAACUUGAGGUCCGAGGUUUGAGUCCUCGUGUCUCGAUCGGUGCCUCGCUUUGCCACCCAUCCUCGCGAGAGCAUAUCGUCACGGAGGCGGCAACGAUGUCAUGGCAAAGAGACGUACAGGAACGGAUACGCCAUCGUGAAGGCAACGCGUAAUCUAGGAAUGGCGUAGGUCGGUGUGUUUGUUUUAAGCUGUCUGGCUCGGUGGUGUGCGGAUCAUCGAGGCCUAAAAUGUUUGAGCCGGCCCAUUGUAUCGACUCAAAAUUCGGCCCACCAACUCGCAGCCCCACGCCCGCGCGGCUCAACACUCCGUUGCCAUAGCAAGACCCACUCCAUAAAACGGCUCGAAUCAAUCAGACGUCCGUGUGUCUUUGCAUCAAAGGUGAAAUUCAAAUUUCCAAAACUUCCAUACGAGCAUUCUUUUUUUCGAAAAGGUUCACCGAUCUAUCAAUAUCAUCGUCAGCAGUACCCGCAAAAGAAAAGUCAAUCAGCAGUACAAAGAGUUCUAAAAGUAAUAAAAAUUAUAAAUAAAUUUUUGACCAUCUAGCGACAACUACAUGUACUGGAACGAGUCGAAGGCGGGUCAGUCCUCGCCCCUCCAUCACCACAGCCGGAAAAAUACAUUGCCAAAUGACAUACUGUUGUAGUAGACGGCGGUGAAGUCGUCAUGCUAAGGUCCCAACAAAGAACUACCACACCAGAGCAGCAACCAUCACUAAAGAUGAGAACCAUACAUCGGAACUACCAUACUUGAAACCACACCAAAGAACGUGAAAACCAACUAGGUCAUCCCCAUGGAUUCAUCAAACACCCAUAAAAUCGACUAGAUCACAAGGAUUUGCCGGACACACAACUCCACGCGCCCUUCAAUGAUCGAUGCUAGGACAUGGCGAUGUGGACCUUAUUCUGACUGCCAAAUGUCGCGCCGCUUCACCAUUUGUCCAUUUCCAAGAAAACACUGAAAAACCUACAGCAAGAAACUUGAAAUCCUUCCUCCCGCAAGCAGCAGGGAUCUGCCGCACCUCCAAGACCAGGAAGGCCAUCGGAGGCGAGACAGGCCGACGCCGAUGCCGGCAGAGGGAACAGAAACCCUAGCCGCCUGGUCGCCUCCUCUUUGCCUCUCGUGGGGUCAUUAGGAUAUGGCCUUCCAUAAAAGCAUUCAAAACAAGAUUCAUCUGCACCGUUGUAUUUCUCAUGCUGAUAUAUUCCAUAAAAACUUUUUAAAAAAGUAAUUCUUCUAGGCCAAAAUUAUGUUGUUGCUUAAAUAAUGUUCAGCUACAUAUAUACUGAAAAACAAUUCCUACUAGCAACAUUAUAAAAGUAUUUCAAAAUUAUAUUCUAUGAGGAAUAUUAAAAAAUGUUCAUUGUCCAUGAAAAAUAUUCUCGUCUUAAAGAAAAAUUGUUCCAGGUGUUUAUAUAAAAUGUUCGUAUGAAGCAACUUUCAAGAAGAUAUAUUCCAUCACUUAUCAAAAUGUUCAUAAAAUCGGUCGUAUACUUUGUAAAAAAGACAGUUAUUUGCCUUAGGACGGGACAAUCCGGCUGGCCCCAAAAAAAUAGUUGCAAGCCCACAUAAUGAGCAUGGGAUAAAGUCCGCGACAUUCUGCUAUUUCAAGUUCAUUAUUUUUCAUGAUCUUAGGUUCAAGUCUAAAACUCUUAACUAACUUGCUUGUGAUACUGCGACACGUGUUGUCAUUAAGCUGUUGAUCCCACUAAUCAUGGUUGAUCAGGAUUCAAUCCAAUCACAGAGGCGAACAUGGGAGUGCUAAUGCAUGCACAACACAUGAAUUGCGUAAGUCAAAAACAUGCACCCCAAGUGACUUAACUCAAGCCCAGUCAUGAUCUCAUCAAGACAUGCAAGUUCUUGUCGGUCUAAUUGAUUAUGUUUAAUUUGUACUAAUCUCCCAUCCUACGAACAAGUCAAUGCAACCAUGUUAGUCAUCUAACUGAUUAAUUAAUGUAUCCACAUCUGCUGCUCCGGAUCCAGAUAGAAAAGUAUCCUCUGUUUUACCCUUUUUAAUUUUACUUUAUUUGCGGGAAAAUACCCUCUUUCCUCGAUUACUUGUCUUUCAAGUAACUUUAGGUGUCAAAUUGACUCCAAGGCUAAGAUGGUGUUAGUUUUUUGAAAUUCAAUAAAAGAAAUACCAUAUGUGGUUCAGACAUAUAAGCUAGUUUUGCUGUCUUAUAACUUUUCUUAUGGCCAUAUAAUUAAGCUAGCAUCAAUGUUUAUGUUUUAGACUCAUGAUUACUGACCUAAAUAAUGUGAGCAUGUAAUUUUGCACCGUUAUGGACUAUUAAUUUCGCGGCACAAAGCAAGAGACGUGCAUGAUGUAAGAGAGAGAAGAAAUCAAGAGCAGGUCGCAGAUGAGUUGGCCACUGGAAUUUUGUGGCGUAGAAGCAGCAGCUAGCUCUCCCUUAAAUGGAUACCAAAGACUUUGUAUAUAUGCACCGAUCUCUGUAGCUAUUUCUUAUUUGUUGGGACACAAAUCAUGCAAGCUGCUGACAAACCGUCCAUGACAUGGAAGGUGGCAGCCAUGUCUCUAGUACAGAUAUACACAUACAUAUUGUAUGGCAACUGAUCUAGCUAGCUAGCUAGCUACCACCAAGUAUAUAUUAUAAAAAAAAUCCCCAAAAAUAAAUGAUGAGAAUCUAUCUUUCUGAUCAAGGCCUUUAUAAAUGAGAUCAUGCCAAAAUUCCAUUUGAGGGAUAAGAGAGAGGUUAGUUAGGCAGAGAGAUUUUUGGGGAGUGUGUGUGGGUGGAGCAGUUGAUUACAUCAUCUCCACUACUAGGCUACUACUACUACAAGAGUACAAGUACGAGUACAUACACACCACACCAGCAGCUGCAAGCACACAUAAAGUAUAGGCAGCUGCAACUUACAGGAAAGGCAACAGCCGUAGCUGCCUGCCUGUUUUUAAUAAACAAGCAAAGCAACCCAUCCAUCCAGCCUCUCUGACUCUCAGCAACUUAAUCUUCGUUUUUGGUUUCUUUAAUUUCAUGUAAAUUUAAUAGGUAUAGUAUCAAAGAUCAAUCAUAUCUUAUAUAUCAACAUGUGGAGUGUGAAUGAUUCAAUUAAUUAAAGUGACCCUGCCUGGUAGAGUGUACAGAUUGUGUGGUAGAGGAGCUGUGGAGGCAGUUGUACUUAACACUUGACCAACAUUGGAAGGAAGCCGAUCUCCUACUCCAUAUUCGAUACAUAGUGAUUAAAUUUGGCUAUUUUCUCCUAAGUUCCUAGGAUUUGUUUAGGACAUGGUAAAGCCGUAAAGGUAAGUAAAUACAUUAUUCGGUAUUAACUAUCAUGAUAAUGCAAAAACAAAUAUGCAAAAAAAACAUGAAGAAGUGGACAAAUAGAAGGAACUAAAGGCAAAUGGUUAUUUUCUCUCUCCAUAUUUUGAUGCUUAGACUUUAUCUUGAUAUCAGGAAUUAAUGAAGCAAGGAGUUGGAAAAAAGGAUCGUAGAACAGAGAGUCCUGUUUUCCAAAAGAGGACUCUCUUUUGAUGCUUAAAAUCACUUCGUUUUCACUUCAAGUCUCCACCAAGAUUUCCCACCUUUUUCUCUCCUAAUCUCUAAUCUCUAUACCAAAACAGGACUUAUAUGAUAAAUUCAUGCUAGCCAAACAAUGCGCUGACAUACUAAUUUCAUGGUAUGGCUGGCUUGACCCUUUUCUCACAUAUUCCUAUGCAUGCUUGAAACAAUCACAUUCAUCUAAAGAUUAAUUAAAUUGUACAAAUCCACACCUUUUUUAGGGUUGUAGUAACAUAAAACUACAUCUUCAAUGGAGGUUUACAAAAAACACGAGUUCAAAACUAACGAGUAACAAAAAGAAACAUACGACAAGUUUACCAUUUAAUCUUGCCGGUCUCACUUGUCAGACACAAGCCUAAUUAGUGCAGUUAUGAACAAAUCAUCAAUUCUGAAAGAAAUUAAAGUUGUGUAAAAAUAUGACAGGUUGCUACUUAUUAGUCUAGACAUUGUUUUUUUUUCGCUUAAAUCUCUUGGAGUAGUAGUUUUCCGUUACUCCAUCCCUUAAAUGUGCGCCUUUGUGUAAUUUACUCGAAUCUAAACGUCCAAUUUCACAUUACCUCUUUUUCACUAGAAAGAGAGAUCGCCAUUUCAUUUCUAUAGGAAUAAAAAGGCUUAUACUUGAAAAUUAAGGAAAUUUGUAUUCAGAGAAAAUAAUAUAUUUGAUGCCUCAAUUAACUGGCAUGGAAUCAAAGUUUAGAAACGGUCCCUUAAACCAUUUCCGCGGACAUUUAGUCCCUAAAUUUGGAAAAUCAAAUAGUUGUGGUGUGCCUCGUCCUGAUACAACAGGUAUUGACUAGUAUUGACUCCACCGUGGCAUGGAUUUGUCUAGGCUUUGCCACGGAGGAUGCUAGGCUGGCAUUUGACCGUUUUUAUCCCUCGUGGUGUCGGAUCACCCUUCAUCCAACACCAGGCACUUCAACGCCGGCCUCAUGGCCACGCCCGUUGGAACCUUCAACUUUAUCCGAUGUGCCGGGUCUCUCUUUCGUUUUUUUUUCCUUCCCCACAUCAAGGCGAAUUCCCGUGUUUCUUCCGCAGCCCAAUCAAACGCUUCCCAAUUUUAAGGUGCCGUCCAGAGCUUGCUCGAACCUGUUGCCCAAGGGGAAAAUGCAUGAUUUGGCCUUCACCGGUUGGACCCGAUAACGGUACCCCGUACAUUUCGACCUCUUUUUGGAGACGUUGCCAUUAGAAAGUCUUUCUUGCGAUUGUGUGUAACAAAUGGAGAGGGGGUUAAAGCCGAAGGUUCCUCGAUAACUCUCGAUGUUGUGUUGCUGCAGGCUCCAGGUGUAUCUGUCCAUUCAUUAAUAUAUUGCCCGUUAUCGAACAAAAAAAAAUGGUAAUCCAUUUCUUCCCAAAUCUGUUUUUACUUGUUACUUGCAUUUCUUUCAGUUUUUGUUUCACUGACCUUUCUCUUUUUUCCUUCACCACAUCAAGGCGAAUUCCCGUGUUUCUUCCGCAGCCCAAUCAAACGCUUCCUGGUUUGAACCUGUUGCCAAAGGGGAAAAAAAUUCAUGAUUUGGCCUUCACCGGUUGGACCCGAUAACGGUAGCCCGUACAUGUCGCCCUCUUCUAGGAGGCGUUGCCGUUGGAAAGUCUUUCUUGCGAUUGGACGUUAUAAAUGGAGUGGGGGGUUAAAGCCGAAAGUUCCUCGAUAACUCUCGAUGUUGUGUUGUUGCAAACGCAAGGUGUAUCGUAUCGACGGAUUAAUAUAUUACCCGUUAUCGAAGAAAAGAAAUGCUAAUCCAUUUCUUCCCAAAUCUGUUUUUAUUUAUUACUUGCAUUCCUUCCUUUCUUUUUUCACUGGCCUCCUCAGAAAAUUCAUUGCACAUUCCCCAAAAUAACAGACCUAGGUAGCAGUAGCUAGCUAGCUCCCAGGCCAGCCAGCUGCUAGCAAUAGCAAUAGCAAUAGCAAUAGCAAUAGCAAUAGCAUGAUCAUCAGUAGUAUAGUUAAUUAGUUGAUUGCCACAUGGACAGGCAGCUGCUUUGCUUUGUCCAUUUGAUCUAGCCUGCCUGGCUGGCCUUCCUUGUUGACAUCCUCCAAAUCACUCUUUCUUUUUUAUUAGUAUUAGUAUUAGUAUUAGUAUUAGUAGUCACUCCACACCACACCUCACCAAUCACCAUCCCUUCCUUGCUCUCCUCCAAAACCAAAACAAAACACUCUCUGUAAUACUAGUACUAAGCAGCAAGCAAGCAAGCAUUGAUCCUUCCUCCCAUCCAUCUAUCACCAACCUUCCUUCCUUCCUUCCUUACUUGAGCCUGCUGUGCUUACUUCUGCUGCUGCUACCUUGGAUUCUCCUCCCCUGCCUUCUUCUUCUUCUUCUUGGUUCUCACGCGGCGCGGCAUCGCUCCAUCUAGACUCUUGCGCAUGGAGGCGGCGGCCGGCGGCGUCGUGGUCGCCAAGGGGAAGCGCAGCAAGCGGCAGCGCGUGCACGCCGCGGCUGCGUUGACGCCAGCCGCUGCCGAGUCGUCGUCGUCGUUGUCCUCCGUCGUCGUCUUCGCGUCCGGCGGCGAGGAGGAGGAGGCGGCGUCGGGGUGCGUGACGGAGGAGGAGGAGGACAUGGCCAUGUGCCUCAUGCUUCUCGCCCGCGGCGGCCAUGGCGGAUCCACGUCGGCGGCGGCGGCCAUGGCGAAGGAGGGGAAGAAGUUCCGGAGCCGGCGGCGUGAGGAGGGCAGCGGGGAAUUGGUGUACGAGUGCAAGACGUGCAGCAAGCGCUUCCCGUCUUUCCAGGCGCUCGGCGGCCACCGCACCAGCCACAAGAAACCCCGCCUCCCAACCCCGAAGGCGGAUUCCGAGGACCAGAAGGCGCCUUCCAUGUCGCCGCCGCCGCCGCCUUCGCCAACCGAUCCAACAGCAACAGCGCUGCUUGGGAUCCCCGCACCGGGAACUCCACCGCCGCCGCCGGCCAUUAAUCCCAACCCCAAGCAGCAGCGGCGGGAGCGGGACAUGGCCAUGGCGAUCGGCGGGUCGUCGAGGGUGCACGAGUGCUCCAUCUGCGGCGCCGAGUUCGCGUCCGGCCAGGCGCUCGGCGGCCACAUGCGCCGCCACCGCCCGCUCGUGCCGGCCGCGGCGGCGUCCGAGGAGGAGACAACGACGACGACCACGAAGGAGAAGAGCCUCCUGGAGCUGGAUCUCAACAUGCCACCGGCGCCGUGCCCCUGCGACGACGCCGACGUCGACACCACCAAGCCGGCGGCGUUCGUCUUCAACGUCAAGGAGCUGCUCUUCCCGGCGCCGGCGCCGGCAUCGGCGAUGGUGGUGGACUGCCAUUACUAGCAAGCAAAAACACAGAGUAAUUAAACGACACAUACAGACACCCAAUUAGCAGCAAUUAGCUUCUCCAUCUGCUUUUCAUUAAUUCCAUUCCAUACAUACAUAUACAUCAUACAUUCAUACAUAUAUUUCCUUCCUUCCUGUGAUCUCAAAGUAUAUACUCUACUCUAGUAUUCUUUUUCUCCAUCCAUUGAUUGAUCCAUCUCUUCUUUCCAUUGCAUUCAUUUUUUUUUCUCUUGAUUGAUCAAAUUAGCAUGAUUGGAAACAAACUGGUGAUGUAAAAUCCGUUGCUAGAGAUCGAUCCAUGUCCUCUUGACAAUAUCUGAGUAAUUCUAUUCGAUUCAUUCAUUCUUGAUCGGAGAUCGAUCAAACGUGUUCGCAUGGCCCGGUGCUUUUUUCUUGCCUUGAAUUGUUGCAAUUGGCAUGAUUUCCUUUGCAAGAAUUUGAUAUAAGCAUUGUGUUUGUAAGUAGUGUGUGAUGAUGGAUAUAUGGGUCGAUGAGUGGUGAGCUGAGUACUGCUGAUGAGUGCAAGACGAGUGUAAAGUGGCAAGCAAGCAAGGGAGCUGGAAAUAAAGGUGUGGGUACUAGAGGCUAGCUUGGCAUUGUGCUCACGUAAAGGGAGUGAUCCUCCUGCUAGCUAUCAUAUCUCUUAAUUAGUACUCGUAUCUCUCUAUCUUUCUUCACAUCAUGGAACUCGAUUAAUAAUCUUUUUGAAUGGAGUAUUAGUUACACAAAUUAACUAGGGUAUAUAUUGUUCUCUUGUCAUUGCUCUACCACCAAGAAAGGAUCCCUGCUUAUUCUUUCUUCCACUGGGCAGGCAAUCAGCUGGCUAGCUAGCUUCCUUUCAGUAUGCAAGUUGCCCCCAACCCAGUUCAUCUUCACUGCUUUGUUCAAAUUAUCAAAUAGCUAGCUAGCUAGACUUAUACUCAAAAGUGUAUGAGUGAAGAAAGAUGGAUACUCAAAAGGGUGAUUAAUUAGUUGACAGGUUAAUUUGGAGUGUGGUUAGGGGGGUGGUUAGCUGCCUAGGGUGGCUGAGAGAGAGAGAGAGAGAGAGAGAGAGAGAGAGAGAAUCCGGGGCCAGGUGAGGGUGAGCUAGCUUAAGCUAAGCUCGUGCAUGCGGUGGGGUAUAGCUAGAUGCUUGGCAGACAGACAGUGGAGACAACCAACGAACAAAAUUGAGGAGGUAAUACAUACAUGGCAACUACCUGUAACUGGCAUUGACACUGACAACCAACACACACUGGCCAGUGUUGUUAAGUUCCUCCGCCCGGCCUGGCGUCCAAUGUAAUCCUCUCAUCAAUAUUUAUCUAAGAGAUGAACUGCAUUUUCAGAUCAGAGAGAACAUAUAGUAGAAUAAAAUACAGUAUUUGGGAGGUGCUUUGCUGUCGAUUUUCUGUCCACCGGUGGUUCCAACUGCUGAAUUGGCCUAGGUAGAAGCCCUGCUUGCAACUACUGGUUUUUUUGUACUGGGAUCACCUACAAUUGCCAGCUGGAAUUUUCAAUUAACUGCAUAAGUUGCCAAUGUAAAAAAAGAAGAGUAAAUAUCACCAAAACCUAACAAUUGGGGAUCUUGUAUCAGAAAACCACAACCCUUGAAAAAAAAAUCAAGGGUAGAUCCCUAAUUGUUGGGAAUUUGUAAUAUUUACUCAUAGAAGAAAUAUAUUUGAGUAAGUUUCCCAAUUGAUAAGAGCACCGUUCCAUGAUGCUCGAAACAUUAUCAGCCCAGCUCAAACGACUUUUAUAUAUGCCAGGCAGGUAUAUAUAUUGUUGAUCAGGGUUGUAUUUUUACAUAACAUGAAUCAUGAGAUGCACCAUGGAAAAUUUCAUGGAGUUGAAUAAACUCCAUGGAGUUAUCUUCAGACUAGGCAUCAUUGGAGGAGGUAUAUGACAGGGUCAAGUGACUGCGGACGUUUGGGUUUACAAAAAAAAACAUAUUUUAAAGUGCCAAGAAAAUCUGAAAACAAAUCUACAUAUAUACUGAUGUCGAGUGCACACCUGUUCGUUAAGAAAUAUCUGGGCUGCACAAAAAAGACAAAUAUGUGGAUCUACAAUAGAUGAGUAGUAUAUCAAUUGGAGAACCACGCAUUUGUCUUUUUUGUAAGGUUCUCAAUAAUUUUUGACAAGUAUGUAGAUUUGCUUUCAGAGUUUUUUCGACAGUUCUAAAUAUGAUUUUUGAAUUUUUGCAAGUUUCUGGCUCCAUAGAGCCCGAGCUCGAUUAGGGGUUUUCGAGGAUCAAAUAGUCUUUCCUCCAAUAAACACUGCCGCCAAUUCGGUCAAAAAUAAAAAAAAUUCGGUCAAAAAUAAACACUGCCGCUGAAAAGGGUAUUCCACAGAACAACAAGAAGAAAAUACCUAAUGAUGCAUGGGCCGGUUUGGUCAACAUCACUUCACCUUCCCAACUACACCACACCGCACACCUCAGUCUCCGUACCACCAGAAGGCAGUUGAGGAAACUGAUGAAACAUGUGUUGGAGCACACAACAUUUGAUCUGGUGUGAGAUCUUCAUUUCAUUUCAAGUAGGCCUUCCUUUUCAUUAACCAACAAGCUAGCUAGCUAGUCUCCAUGAGAUACUUUAAUGCUAUUGCAUCUAGGCACAUCAUGAGGCUAAUUAAACAAGUUAUCAUUGAUCAACUCAGGUAUUGCUGAUUUUGGUUUGUCAGACUAAAACCAAUUUUAAUUUAUACGAAUCCAACUGUAUCAAAUCUCAAAUUACAUAAGGACUGUGUUAUUGGAUUAAUUUUUGGCCAGCUCAUGGAUUUUGGCAGUCAAAAUGCGCCCUAUACAAUUUUACAGCCUAUCCUCUGUUUCAGAGGAUUAAACAAUGGUCUUUUGAGUCCACUGCCGAUGUAAAUUAAGACCUCUCUUUAGUUUUUCUUGCCCUCUUGCAUUUGCAAUAUCCAUCUUCAUCGAUGCAGAGGCCGGAGGCACUCCCUCCUUUUAGAAAAAAUCCUUGUAAAAUCUUUUAUAAAAAUACAGAAGAUCUUACAUUUAAUUAAUGCUACACUCAGGGAUCUCUUCCAGCACACAGAUUGGAAACUGAUGAGAUUUCGUAACAGAGUCUAGCUUCUUCCUGUUUUGUAAGACAAGUCCCAGUUAAACAAAGCUAACAAACUAGCUGCUAAGUAGCUAGCUAGUGCGUG